UCUCCACCUUCGAAUCAGCCACGGUUGGGUUGGUGGUCGGAGCUUUCUUCCGGGUUGCAGAGCCGCCGUCUGGUCGCACGCUGCCGGCGCCACCGGACCUCGACCCGAUCACGGAGGUCGAACGAAAGACACAAUCGAAACAAUUUUUGAAUUGGGGGGGAAGGCUUUGCGUGAGCCGGAGUUUUUGCUUUUAGUUUCUUUCAGAAUCCUUCGCCUUUCAACCCUCAUCGCUGCCGCCGCUCCUUUUGUUGGAUGAAUGCUGCUGCUGCUGCUGUGAAGAUGGAGCAAAUUGGAGCUCCUUCUGGCGGAUGAGAAGCACCAUUCGCUCGUCUCGAGCUUGGCUCUCUCGUCUGGGUUCCAUCAACGAAUCUUCAGUUCCCAAAUGCCUCCGAAGAUCACGCCACCUAAGCCAUCGGGUUCCAUCAAAAGACAUAUUUUUAUCUUCAGUUCGCCGCUAUGAAUCUUCCUUCCCUCUCAGAAAUGAAUCUCCUAUUCUCGAUUUUGCCAAUAAAGACACUUUUUUUUUACCUGGCCAAAUGCCCCGAACCAGACUUUUUUCCCCUGCAAUGAAAAAGCAGAGGCAUUCCCACGCAGCUCUACAGGUAAAAAGGACAUACCUAAGUCAGUCAAAUCUCAAGAAAUCCCGAAAAUGCAACACCAAGUUCCCGGAAAGCCUCAUCCAUGCAGUGCAAGAUUCCUCUUUUUUUUUUUUCUUAAAUAAAAAAACUCAGUUCAGGAUAUAUAGCGAGCAUGGCAACUGGUUUUGAGAAGGGAUGUUUUUUUAUGGGAGUUGACAAAAAGAACUGCCCGUGGUUUUGAGAAGUCACACCCAUCUUUGGAAGCCAAAACACACGAGAAAAGAAGGAAGAGAGUGUAUUCAUACGCAGGAGGGGGAGAGAGGGAGUGCAAAUUUAACCAACUUUAUUUUGAUUGUAUUUUCAGCAAUUGCUCGGACGGUGGGGCACUUGGCUGAGAGUUCUGAGGUUAUGAAUUUUGUUAAUGACCUUAUGAAAGCUCCUGAAAUGGCUGUUCCCAAGGUACAUUUCUUGUAUCGGUUGAUGUGAUUUUAUAAUUUGCAUGAUGCACUCUCUCCUAUGGGGGUGUUGUCAAUUGUGUAUUUGCAUAUUAAUGUUCCUUUUGUUGUCAACGUUCAUAUUCAGAAUGACGAGGGUGAUACCUAUAUUCAAGCUUUUUCUGAUGAUAUGUGGCUAUUGAGAGACAACGGAAACUUUAUCUCCUUUUCGGCUUUAUCAUUUUCAAAUAUGCUGAUAAUUUGAACCUUCAUGAGUGGAUGAGAGAUGAGAUAAUGAAAUGAACGACUAUAUCGACAUGACCUUAUAGUGCACAAUUCAAGAACAUUAUCUUGAGCAAUUUGGGAAUGUUAGUUCUCCAUUUCUUGCUCACUUGCUGGAAUAUGGCUUGUGAAGUGGGAAAAAAUUGGAAAUGCAAAUUGUGAAAUGUUUUUGUUACUUCUGAUCAUAAAGUUGUGAAAACAAUGGGUUGUGGAGUAGCCUGCAUCCUGCGGCAUACGAAUAGCGGAGGUAUAUAUUUGAUUGCUAGAUGUAGUUUGUUUAUAUGAUAUAUAGGCUGGUGUGAUCGAAGAAUUUGUGAAUGACAUGGUUGACGCGGCUCUUGACACGGAGGACAUGAAGAGGAGAUAGACGAAGAGGUUGAUAAGGUCUUGACAGCCAUUGCCGGUGAGACAGCUGCUCAACUUCCGGUGGUAGUGAGGAAGCAAAAGGUGAAGCAAUCUGCUCAACCUAUCAACCUACUGCAGAAGAGGUACAUCUGCUAGUUCCUUACCGAUGGAACUUAUUUUUGGUCAUUCUUUUAUUUCCCCGAUAGGGAGCUAAUUGAGAAACAAUCACUGCUGCAUUCCUACUUUUUUUCAUGUAUCAAUGAAUUUGGAGUUUGUAGGAUGGGCGGUAGCCGAGGGUGUUGAUGAUGAGGAAGAACUAGAAGAAAUGAGAGCUCGCCUUGCAGAAGUUAGGUCUUUAGUUCCAAUUUUUCUACUGUACACUUUUGACAGCCCAAAAGGCAGGGAAAGGAGGGGUAAACUCUAUUUCGCCUAACGUGGGAGGAAUGCGGGUCCCCUGAUUGAUGUAGAGGAGAUCCUAUAAAACACUUGAACGGUCAAUGAAAAAUGGUGUAAUGAUGUAUAAAUAUGCGAGUUAUGUAUAAACUUGAGCUUGUGGUGAAUAUUGGGUACGUGGGUCGACAAAUUUACUAAUAUUGUGUAACACCUGAGCCAGAGCUUCCAUUCUUUCAACAAAAGCAGAGAUGGAGCAAGUGUCAAGUGAUGGAGGAGCGGCCGCUUGACGAACCUUGGAGCAGCAACAAUAAACGCCGCGUAGCAAAUGAGAGCGAAAGCAGAGAUUCAAAUUAGAUAUUAAGCCAUUUUCGGCUCUAAAUGAAAAACACAAAUAAAGAAAAGAACGAGCAUUACCCAAAUUGAAGUUGGUUCAUGAAAAAAGGUUUUAGCUUUCGUUUUCAAUGUAAAGGAAAAAUAAAAGAUCUUCAUUUCUCCUUUUUUUUUCCUCUUGAAAAUAUGUUUGGUUAGUAAAAGAACUUCGGAUAGGACUCAAAAUUUAAACAUGUUUAUGGUGUCUUUGCAAUCCAUCACUUCGUACAUUCUUUGAACUAAUAAUCCCAUCUUUUCAUUUGGUGAUUACAAAGUACCAUAGCCGGCUAUCAAGAAAAAUCGUCUUAUGAAGUAGGAGAUGCGGAUGAAAUUGGCAAUACAUCUCUACCGCGAAUAAUGCGACCUGCUUUAUUUACCUUUGAAAGGAAACUAUUAAAACAUCCAUUUUCAAGAGGCAUCUAAACCUCUCCUCGCUGUACAUGCAACAAAAAUCUUGGAUACAGUCAAAGAGCCUAUGAAUUACUUCAGUACUCUAGAACUUGAUCGGUAGGCAAAAUUCCAGCCAAUGGCCUUACAAUAGAGUCUCUGGAUAGACAUGCUUGACUUUUAUUGGGUAUAGUAGCUUGAAGAGCGAUGCGGUUCGAGGUAGCCAGUCUCUUAGGUCCCUACUUUUUCAGGGCGGAUGAAGUUACUGACAAGCAGGAAAUGUUUAGCACAAAACUAGACUAAGAAAAUUAGAACAUCACAUACUAAAAGCCAAAACCCUGUUAUCUAAUGAGAAAAGUAAGGCCUUGUACAUGAGAUCUGGUGUCCCUGAUCAUCGAUUCAGUAUAGAAACGAGACGAAGGUACCAUGGAAUCCAUAGGGUGCCCUUUGAGGCAGAGUCAUUUUUUCCAUUGGCUCACCUUUAAACUUGUGCGCUUCAAUCACAAGAACCUGUAGAUUUCACAAUUUCAAAAUCACAUCAAACGUCAUUACUGGUAGUCUGGUAGGCAAACCUACGUGAUGAUUGCAUUGAAACUCUUAAACUUAACCUGGGACACAUCUGUUUCUUCAUUAUGUACCCAAGAGACGAUCCAACCACUGUCCUCUCCGAGACCAUCUUUCUUAGGGACAACACACCUGUUGCAGAAGUUGUCCUUUCCGAAAUUAUGGUACCCGACCUUCAUCAACUUCUUGUGAUAUCUUCCUCUCUAAUUCAAGGCCACGGUGAGGAACAUUUCGACAUGUACAAUGGAUAAUUAGAAUGACUCGAAAAACUUUCAGUAAUACCUCAGAGUUAGACAGCCCAGGACAAGGUUCAUCGAAGUAUAAUUUCACUAGAGCUCCAUAUUAGCCAUUCCUGAAUCAAACGAGUGAUGCAUAAACAAUAGGAAACUGAUCUUAUGCGCUACAUUGGGCAAAUGGACAUGGACUCGAGAGUAGAGACUGGCAUUGCAUUACCACUUUCCGAGCUUGCUCUGAAUUGAUGACUUGAGCAUAACCACACGCAUUACGCAAGCCAGUGAAUUCGGCAUUUAUGAAAGGGAAGUCUAUAGAGAAUUCAGUGCCCAUAAGAUUCAACUCCUGAACUUCCCCUGUUUCCAUGUUCAAUCUCCACUCAGAGGCACAGGUAAACAGAUAGCCUCCAUGUUUGUUAGCAUUUGCAUCCACCGGUUCUCUAAAGUUGAAUCCUCUCAAGAACCAAUCGAAUUUGUUCAUACCCAUUGGGACACAGAAACACCACUGUAAGUGAUCUGCAUCUUCUCACCACGGCCUGCAUUGUUGGGCAAUAUCAUUAAAGUUGAGGCUUAGUCUAAAAGGAUUUUAACCUUCAAAUUAGGCUACUAGGAAAAAUAUACCUCAUAACCGUCCCGAAAGCAGUUGAUAUGUGAAAUGUGCAGCUUGACUCUACAAAAAACCAUUGGACUGAACUCACGUCUCCAUAACGUAGCAUCACCCCUAUCCUCGGAUAUCUUCCUGGUCAUAUUUCAGUAACCUACAUUCCAAGAAAAUGAUUAGUUGCUUCAACGAACUGAAAAACUAUCACCAAGAAAGGCAUUACCAGCUCCUGCAAAUCAACGCUACAUCAUGAGAUCAACUUGUUAUCUACUGAAUCGAUUAGUACUGAAUCAUGCUGUAAUGUGCCAGUGAGGAAUCUCCAUGUUUCCAGAGCAGUCUUGACACCAAAACUCUCAAAAAGCAUUACACGUCCAGCUCUGGCUACAUUCCUGUGGCAAACAAAUAGUCCAUUUACACAGGCNNNNNNNNNNNNNNNNNNNNNNNNNNNNNNNNNNNNNNNNNNNNNNNNNNNNNNNNNNNNNNNNNNNNNNNNNNNNNNNNNNNNNNNNNNNNNNNNNNNNNNNNNNNNNNNNNNNNNNNNNNNNNNNNNNNNNNNNNNNNNNNNNNNNNNNNNNNNNNNNNNNNNNNNNNNNNNNNNNNNNNNNNNNNNNNNNNNNNNNNNNNNNNNNNNNNNNNNNNNNNNNNNNNNNNNNNNNNNNNNNNNNNNNNNNNNNNNNNNNNNNNNNNNNNNNNNNNNNNNNNNNNNNNNNNNNNNNNNNNNNNNNNNNNNNNNNNNNNNNNNNNNNNNNNNNNNNNNNNNNNNNNNNNNNNNNNNNNNNNNNNNNNNNNNNNNNNNNNNNNNNNNNNNNNNNNNNNNNNNNNNNNNNNNNNNNNNNNNNNNNNNNNNNNNNNNNNNNNNNNNNNNNNNNNNNNNNNNNNNNNNNNNNNNNNNNNNNNNNNNNNNNNNNNNNNNNNNNNNNNNNNNNNNNNNNNNNNNNNNNNNNNNNNNNNNNNNNCUAGUGUCUUAUGGGGCGGAUCGGGCGUCCCGACAUAAAUUCCGCAUACGGUUCUCUUCGGGUUUCAUGUCCCAGAUUAAAAUGACAUCGUUUCUUUUAUCAUGUAUAGCACGAUAUAGUAUAUCUUGCUAUUUCGAACGUCCAUAAUGAGCAUCAAUGGAACAAAUCCACCUUGCACAGCAUAAAAAUUCUAAUGCUUGAAUGAUUAUAACAUAAAAUCAGAAGAUGUUUUUUCCAGAUGGGAUGAAUUUGAUUGAUAGUCUGGCCUUGGUCAAAUCUAACACGUAAAUCCGAUCAAUGAAUACAAAAUGGCCAGGGAAUCUGGUAAAGAAAAUAUAGCAGUGUAUCAGAACACACAAAUUAUUUACAACGAAAAGGAAUGGUUAAGGGACUGAGAUAACUGGAGUUAAGGAUUUCUUGAAGAGUACAUAUGGCUUAUUUGGAGCAAUUGAUCUUCCAAUUGAGCAUCCUCAUGAUAUAUACGAAAUCGAAAGUAUCUGCACAAGCGAACAUGCAUAACCAAAUAGAUUUCAAGGGAGAAGCCAAUCAUUCUUCAAAAGUAGAACUUCAAGAAAAUAAUUUUUUGAAGUAUUUGCAGCAGUUAAAAAUAUUUUCAUAUCAAGAAAAAUGAAUCCUGAUUUAAAUAGAACCCACAUUACUCUAGUUCCAAAAAUUCCUAACCUAGAAACUCUUGAUCAAUUUCGCCCCAUUAGUUUGUGCAAUUUUGGCCUAUAAAAUCAUAUCCAAGGUAAUCGUGAAUAGACUCAAAACUUGGUCAUCGAGAAUUGAUAGCUCGAGAGCAAAGUGCAUUUAUGAGUGGGAGACUUAUCCAGGACAAUAUCGUGAUAGUGCAGUAAGUGUUGCAUCAACUAAGAGCAAAGAAGAGGAGGAAAAAAAAUUCCUAGCGGUUUUGAAACUUGAUAAGAAAAAGGCGCAUGACAGAGUAGAAUGGGACUUGUCGGAGGCACGCUUAAGAAAACUGGGCUUUGAUGAAAAGUGGAUUACAUGGGUUAUGAAAUGUGUAUCUUCAGUCUCAUUCAGUGUUAAAUAUAAUGGGAAUCCUCUUCCUUACUUCCAACCUUCCAGAGGACUUUGGCAAGGUGAUCUUUCAUCCCCUCAUCUCUAUAUUUUUGUAGCAAAUAUUUUAUCUUUUAUGAUGAAGAAAACAGUGGAGGAUGGCAGUAUCGAGGGUAUUAAGCUCAACUCUUCUUCCCCUACCAUAUCACAUCUCCUAUUUGUGGAUGAUUCCAUCUUCUUUUUAGAUUGGAGAAUUCAAGAAUGCCAAUCUAUAUCGGAUGUAACAUCAGUAUGGUUUUGCUACUGGAUAGGAGAUAAACCUAAACAAAUCAGAAAUACUCUUUAGCUCAGGGUGUCCACAGACCAUAAGAGCCAAUAUGGCUAUGAAUGGCGUGUCCUAGAACUGGAUAAACAGGAAAAUACCUUGGAAUUCCUUUGGAUUGGGGAGAGUCUAAGAAGAAUAUGUUUUUCCUGGAUACGUGGAAGAGUUAACAAAAAAAUGGAAGGUUGGAAGGAAUCUUUAAAUUCUAAAGCAGGAAAGGAGAUAUUACUAAAAAACAGUAGCACAUGCUCUUCCUCAAUAUGCAAUGUCAAUCUUCAAGAAUCCCGUUUCCAUAUGUAAAGUGAUUGAACAGAGAAUGGCAGCAUUUUAGUGGAAAAGCAGAGAAUUUCACUCUGGUAUUCUGGAAGAGUUGGGAUUUCUUGAAUCAAAGGAAAGACAAUCAAGGCAUGGGAUUCAAAGAUAUACUUUCUUUUAACAAAGCUUUCUUAGGAAAGCAAGCCUAGAGAUUAAUGCACCAAUCUUGCUCUUUAUGGGGUCAAAUUUUUAGAGGGAUUUACUUCCCAAAAAGGAGUUUCUGGCAUGCUGGGAAAGGGCACAGACCCUCUUGGGGCUGGCAAAGCUUACUACAGGGAAGAGACUUAAUCUUAGAAUCUUCAUUGUGGUCAGUGGAAACAGGAGAAGCAAUCAGUAUCAUAGAGGACAGAUGGUUGUAAAGAGGUGUAAUUGGAGGGCCAGUGAAUGAAAAUAACCCGCAACAGGUAGUAGAGCUUAUAAACCACAAAGAAAAUUCCUAGAAUGAACCUCUUCUUCGAAAUAUUUUUGAAGAGGACAUCCUAAAAGAAAUUCUGGUUAUUCCUCCGACAACCCACUCUAUUCAAGACAAACUGGAGCGGACAUAUUCAUCAACAGGAAAUUACUCAGUAAAGAGUGGCUACAACUACAUAAGACUUACCUAGAAUGUCUGAAAAGCUCUAAUGGCCUCCCCAUCUUUCUGGGCUCCUCAGGCUUUAUGGAAUAGGGACCUGGAAAAUGCAUACAAUCCAUAAAAUUAAUCUCAUCCUAUGGAAUGCAGGUCAGAAUAGUCUGUCCACAAUGGAGAACUUAUACAAGCGAAAAAAUAGUAUCGGAUUCUUACUGCUCACUGUGUAGAGACCAAGUGGAAUCCCCAAAGCGUCUCCUUCUCCUUUGUCCUUGGCCGAGAGACAUAUGGGCUUAACCAUCCCUAAAUUUCAGGUUUCUUCUCAGGGUUAAGCAGAGUAGAGAUAAGGGCCAAUGCAAUACCUUAAAAGCACGGAAAACCCAACUUCUCUGGCACUUGUAGCAACCAUCUUUUGGUUUAUUUGGACCACCCGUAACAACUUCAUCUUUCGAAAGAAACCCCCAGACCCAGUUCAAGCACUACGGGGGAGCUCUAUCUUCUCUCAGCAAUUGCAGGAGAUGGAAUUCAAAGCAAAAAAUCGGACCUUGAGGUUGCCACCUCUUCUAAGAACUGGAAACCCCCAAAGAUCGGAUCUUUAGAGGUCAACAUUGAUGAAUCCCUUCGUUGAAAGCUCCAUGGAAGGAGCAAUCGCCUGCAUUAUUCGAAACUCAAAAGGGACGCUUGUGGAUGCACACAGAAUUAUCUCACGGCUCCGUAUCAACCCCAUUGCCAUCGUGAAACCAACUCCAUUGCGAACGGACUGGAUUUCUUCCCCUCCCCAAAUCUUGGUGGAUUUACUUUGGAAGGAAGCCCAGUUCAAGGGCCCUGCAUUUUCAAAUUGAAUAAAAGUUAACCAGUUUAUGAUCCACCAAAAAAAAAAAACGCGAGUUGGAAAUGUUGAUGAAAAUGGUGAUACAUCUCAACAAUGAAUAGCGUGACCUGCUUUUAUUUACCUUUGAAAGGACAUGUGAAUCGUUCCGACAUCGUGGCUAGAGCUCUCUACUGAUCAGAGCGUUAUUUUCACGAAUCGGUGAUUUCUCUGCUGCAGUAACGCAAUGAAGGAAUUUCCAACGAGUUGCGUCGUUGAACGUCUAUUAGAAUUUAGACGCCUUGAUUCCCGAAGCUCUGUGAUUUCCAAAAGUUCAUCCGAAAUUGACCCCCCAUCAUUCCGUAAAACCUCCGAAAUUCGACAGGUGUGGGCAAUUUGUUGAGGCCUUGCAGUCACCCCUCAUUAGCGGAACACAGUUUCAACUCUCUCCAGGCCCUGAACAUCAUGAAGCUUCGAACACCCUUGAAUGUCCAAUUGUCUGAGGUUAUCGAAGAGCGAGGGGUCCGGUAAUUUUUCAAUGGAAUUGCACCCCCGGAUAUUUAAAUAUGUCAAUUUUUUCAACCCCUCAAGGCCAUUAAUUUCCUCCACAUCUUCGCAUUCAAAGACCACUAAUUCCCUCAGAUGCGUUAAUUGCGAAAUGUCGAGUCUUGUAAGGGACUGGCAACGAAUAAUAUGUAGCAUUUCCAAGUUUUUCAAUCCGCCAAGGCAUUGAACUUGAAAUGGAUGAUCAUUCAUUAUUGAAGCGUCUAAGUCUUCUAUUUCCAAAUGUCUCAAAGACUCCAGAUGUUCAAGGCCGUUGAGGUUGGGCAACUUCUUGCAUUUGCACAAAGAUAAUCUUCCUAAAUAUUUUAAUCCUUCCAAACCCUCGAUUUCCAUCAGCUCACCACACUCUAUGAUAUGUAAUUCUAACAAAGAUUCCAAACUUGACAAAUUGGGCAACUUUUCCAACUUACCACAGAGGACGACCCAAAGGUUCAAGAUUUUUGUAGGAAGCACUGGGAUGGAUUCCAAAAAUUCGCAAAAUUGAAAACUGAGCUCUUUUAGAUUGAUUAAGUGAGAAAGUUGAGGCAAUUCGUGAUUCUGACAGGUGAUUUCCAAAACUGUUAAGUUGGCAAGAAGAUCGCAAUUAAUUAAAUAAGGGUGUCGUUGAGAAGACAGGUCACUGAACAUUUCUAAUGAUAGAAUAUCCAUUUUGUGCAUGUCAAGAAGAUCUACAGUGUGGCAAAGCUUCCCAAGUUGAAGGAUUUUCAGUGAAGACAACCCAUUUGUAGGAACUGCCCCUUCCAAACUCGUGCAGGCUGUGGCAUCUAAUUCUUCAAGUUUUCCCAACUUACUAAGAGUACUAGGUAAACUACUCAAUUCCGUACACCCAGCAAUUUUCAGAAUUUUCAGAAUUUUCAAGUCCCCGAUGGAUUCAGGUAAUUCCAAAAUUUUUGCACAUGUCAAAUGCAAUUCAGUCAAUGAUUCUAACUUCCCAAUUGAAUGGGGGAUAUGAUUGAAACAAUAAGUUUCACUAUAAUCCCGAUUACACCCCCAAUCAUCAGCUUCAAAUGGAAGAGCCAUAUUGCCUAGUAACAAGCGCUGUAAUUUCUUAAGGGAUCCAAUACUCUCCGGAAGUUCUUUAAAAUCCAUGCACCAUCUCAAGUCAAGGGUCGACAAAUUUACCAAAUGGCUAAUUGAGUCUGGAAGUCCAACCAAUGACAUGCAAUUGAGGGCACUGAGUAUCUCCAGCUUUGUUAAAGAAUCUAUUGAUGGAGGAAUUUCCUUUAUCUGAACACCAUCUAUUCUAAGUUCCUUAAGUUCUUUCAAUUCGCCCAUUUCUUUGGGUAGCUUUUUGAUUCUCCAACAUGAGGACAAGUUUAAAGAAACAAGGCGCUUCAGUUCACCUAGUUGUGAGGGCAACUUAUUGAGUUUGCAACAAUAACUCAAGUUCAAGGAAGUGAGGCACUUAGCAUCUCCUAUUGAAAGGUCAAUUUCCUCCAAAUUAUCACAAUAAUCUAGGAUUAGUAUCUCUAAACUUUUAAAUGCAUAGAGAUUAGGGGUUCUCACUAAAUCAAUGCAAUAAGAAAGAUUGAGAACUUUCAACCUCUCCAUCUACAAAAAAGAAACAUGUUCCAAGAUUAGCAGUUGGAAAUAGAAUGAUUCAUCAUCAAAUGUAACAAAAGAGAAAGCAUUUCUCAUAUUUACCUUGAUUGAACUCCAUCCUCUCCAUUCAUGACUAAUAUAACCAUAUGAUAAAUCAAGUAUGAGUAAUUUCUCCAAAUGAACAUUAGCCGCCUUGAAAGAGUUGGGACAUUUCUCCCACCUUAGCCAUCUUAAUUCAGAAAGUGAAUCCUCAAAAUUUCCAACAAAAUCCACUUCACUUAUAUGAAGGAAGUUCAGGUAAGGCAUUCUUUUGAAACUCUCUCGGCUCAUGAACAUGUUUGAGCCAUUUUUGUCCAGACGUAGUGCCUCAAUAUUUCUAUUUUCUUCCUACCAAAAAAAAAAAUGAUGAUAGUAAAUAUCAGCACAGGGCAUUCCUUGAUCUUGACAUGAACAAAAAGUGUCAUUAAACAAGGAAUAGCAUACCGCCCACCUGCCAUUUGUUGGCAUACAUCUGCAUGUUAUUGUGGCCAAUGCAUUUUCUCUCCACUUACAGAGUAUAUGUGAUAUUUUUAUAACUACGCAAUCCUACUGAUCUCAUGUAAAAUUCCUCCAUUAUAUAGUCUAGGUUUCUUAUAAGUUUUUAUAUAAGACUCUGUGACACAAAUAGCAUUGCCUACCAAGUAUUCCCUCCACCGGAGCACAUAUGGUGUCCCUUCGUAAUUGUGAGAACCGUUGCACUUUUUGGACCAAAAGAAGAAAAAAAAAACUAAUCGGAUUUAUUACAAGCAUUUAUGCAUUCAUAAAGCAUGACAACUUAUUUCCUUGUUCAUGAAAUAUUGGUCAUUUUGGCUUAUGGCUAAAUGGAAACGAGAAUGUUUGGUCAUUUUUUCCCUGGAAGCGCAACUCUGUAUUUAGUAGACGAUUUUUGUGCAACCGAAGCAGUAUCUUUUUGUUUCAUCGGAAAAAGAAUACACUUUCGAAUUAAAACGCAACUUACUAAGAGAAGAAUAAUUGACAAAACCUCACUUUUUUAAAAAUUGGUUAUUAAUAAAUAAAAAAACACAUUACGGCUAAUAAAAAUAACACAUUAUUUAGUGCACAAAAGACUAUAAAAGUAAGUUAACAAAAAGUUACAAUUAAACAAUCACAUUAACGAUGUGCAUCUAUAUUGGGAAUUUCAUUAGUCUUUCUUUUUACCUUUAGGUAUCGUCCUUUCACUAUAUACCCUUCUACAAUUCCAUACGGUGUCUGUCUCUUUCCCCAAUUAUAUCUUUAUUUGCAUGUUGAGUGACCAAAACUUUCCAGAAAUUCACAGAUUGCUAGAGAAGAAAGAAAUUGAGGAAGGGAAGUUGAGCUUGACUCUUCAAUUUUGGACAUUCAAGCUCGAAAAGAUCAAACCUAAUCCUAAGGUGAGCGCACUAGUCAAUCAGCCAUCCUUCAAUUUGCGCCAAUCGAAUGAUAUCAAUUAUCAAGCAGGUAGUCUUCUAUCUAUUAGAGUUUCUAUUUUCAUCCCAACCGUUUUACUUUUCUUACUUAUAUCAUAGCGUCAUCUGAACUUUUACAUCAAUUGCAAAGAGCCGACAAUGAAAAAGACUGAUUGCUUCUUUCACAUUUUAGCAUGCGCAAUAGCAUAGUGAGUUUUAGUUACGCAUGAUUGCAAAACCAAAAUUAUUAUCUCAUGGAAUUGAGUGAGAUUAAAAUUAAAUAAUCCAGACGAUCUAAUACUUUAACAAAUUAUCUUCAUGUAUUUCCUCUGUUCUUUGAUUUGGUCAAUAUUUGCUAUAGUAAAAAAAGAUGCUUUUGAUGCCGGUUUGCCAUGUGAAUCAAGAUACAAAUCAGCCUGAUCAUACGAAUUUGUCAGUGCAUUUGCCCAUUCACCGGUUCAUAUAAAAAUCUAUGAAUUGGUAUACUAGGUUCGCGAUCAUUAUUAUUUUCCUAUUUUUCAAUUCUCUCAUUUCUUAUUUUCUCCCCCAAUUAUCUUAUUUAAUGAAUUAAGGCUCAAUUUGUUUCUCGAAAAAUGAACAAUUUGAAAAAUAUUUUCUUAAAAACGAUAGCUUAUAUUGCGUAUAAAAACGAAUGAACGAAAUAUAUUAGCUAAAAUAUUUAGAUAUAAAUUAUUGUAGAUAAUGAAAAUAUUUUUUUUAUUAACUAAUUACAUCAAGUAAUACAAGUGAUUGUUUUCUAAGAAGAUAUUUUAUCAAUCAUUUAUUUUUCACGAAAUAAGCGGAGCGUAAAUAUUGAAUUUUUUUCUCGCUCCUAUGAUCCUAUCAAAUCUAACAUCUAAUAUCUAACAACAGUAUUUUUAUUUUUAUUUUCAAUCUUCUUGUUGUCCAUGUGUGGGCGCCUGAAAGGCUCUAUAAGUCCUUUCGAAGAAAGGCUCGCUCAUUACAUAAUAAAGGUGGAUAUUGAACUACAUUAAGUGCAGAUAAGUUGAAGAUGAGCAAGAUACAGCUUCUUUCAGCUUUCACUAUUCCGUCACUUACUUCCUUCAAUCAUUUAUUUUCUUAAUUUUGAUCUUUACUUUUCAAAUUUUCAUCGAAAAUUACUUUGUAUAAACAUGUGCAAAAUCGUGUUUCAGAUGUUACUUCGUUUAUUUUAGUCAUAAUUUACUGUUGUUUGAUUUUGCACAUUAUUCAUUAAUGUUGAAUUACGUGCUCGAAAUAGCUAUGACUAGAUCCGUGCACAACACGGGUACAAACACCCGCAUAUAAUAUGAAAGCAGGGUAAAUUAGCCUUAUGUUAUCGCAUCACGAGUCCAAAUUCUGUUAGUUCUCACCUUUCAUGUGAAUAAACAUGAUCGAUCCAUGUACACAUGCAAAGCUCAUAAAUAAACCAAAUCCCUUGAUAAUGCCACCGACUCUAUAAUUAAUGUAUCUCGCACAGUCUUCCAACAUUAUAUUAUCUAAUUUGUUAAUUUAGCUAUAACUUGGUCUAAAUGACAAUAGAAAAAAGCUAAAUUUGCAAUUAAAAGUUUAAAUUUGAAUUUUUAAAGUGUAUUAAUCCUAUAAGUGACAAGAUAAAUACUUAUUUUCCAUUAAUUAUAGAGUGAGAGUUACCCAACUAUGUAGUGUUGUUUCAAGUUAGCAACUAAGCAAUUAUGUUAAUAACAUAAUUAUACGUUUCUAGAUUAUUAAAAAAAAAUUGAUAGAUUUCAAGGUGCUUCUUUAGUUAUGAUGAUAUCAUUACCUGAGUAAUACAAUUAAAACAAUUUUUUUAUUUUCCUUUUAUCGUGCAUUUACAUUAUCAUAUUGCAUUUCCGUUGUAAACAUGCAUAAGAAAUUCCAUAAAACAAAUUGUAUAAAUUAUUUAUACAUAUAAAAUCACUACAUAAGAUCUUACUACUUCAAAUUGAAUAAAUUCUUGAGUCGUAGCCAAUAGUUAUUAGGUGCAAAUAAUUUAAAUUGAAAUCUUUACUUUUUCUUCUUCUUCUUUUUGCCAUAAAUUAGGAGCUGCAUGUAUUCGACAGUGAUCAAUGACGAAGUUCCCGUUAUUUGGUCAAAAAAUAUAAAUUAAUUGGCAUAAAAUUAUUAAAAAAAAAACUUAUAUGCAUUUUAUGGUAUUUUCCGAUAUUAUCUUACUUAAAUGAUAUUUGAAUAAGCAAAUCUCCAAACCUGGGUGACGCUAGGAUCUUCAACUUGUAGUGUAGUAAGAAGCACUGAAGCAGUACAAAACUGCUAGAAAAUGAUGUUAAGACAGCCAAAGAGCAAUAUAGACAGAGCUAAAAUUACACAAUUUUAGUACCCCUUUUCAGCGCCUUUUUUUAUGCAUCAAGAGAUGAGCUGUGCAAUAGUCACGACUGCAAACUUUUCAUGAACUAAAGGCCAAAAUUGGAUGUAGCUUUUACCAAGAAAAUGCUAAGAACAUGUUGACACCGGUCAAUGAUCUAGAGUAAAAGAAAAAUUAAGAAUAAUAAUAUGAGGGACUAUGAUUAGGGAAUAUGGUAUAGGCCAAAAGUAGACAUGAUUGUUACCUUACUUCGUUGAACUAUUACAGCUUUCUCGUCCCAUAGUCUGCUACAUUUCCAAGGCUUCUUAUUUGCUGGACGAGCAAUAGCUCUGCCUAAAUCUCUUAAUUGAUCAUGCAUUCUCAACUCAUUGUUAUCAUCAAUUUUCAUCAAUGAAAGUCCAAUCAUUGUUUCCAAUCCGGAAUCUGGGCAAUAUUGGAGAUCCUCCCAUAGGUAGGUGGCAAAUCUUUUGUCAAUUCCAAUAAAAAAGCAUGCUAUGUCUAGAAACAUUUGUUGUUCCUCAUAUCCUAAUGAAUCAUAACUUAUCCUCAACUUUUGUUGUACAUCCAUAUGAGGCACCUUCCUCAAUUUCUCAUGUGUCUCUAUCCAUAUACUUUGAUGUUUUCCUUUAAGAAAUGAACCUAUAAUCUUGAGAGCUAAAGGAAGCCCUCCUAUGGUGGCAACAAUAUCCUUAGGAAGAGUCGCGAGUUCCAUUCGAGGUUGUUCCAGUUCAAAUGCAUACGAGCUAAACAGACGCACAGAGUUUGUGCCAUCCAUUUCUUUGAGUUCACAACAUAUAUAUUCAGACUUCAAGAGGGCCUUAUCUCGACAUGUAAUAAUGAUUCUACUUCCCAACCCAAAAUCACAACCUCCAAUCAAUUUAUCGAGGUGGUAUCGACAAUCCACAUCGUCAAGAACAAUAAGUACCUUCUUCUUUCCACAAAUAAAUUGGAUUUUUCUAAUCCCUGUCACAGAAUCAAACACUAUACUUCCAUGAUUUCUUGUUAUAUCUGAGCUUAGUAGAUUUUGGAUAUGCUCUAUACCCCUACAAUGAAUUGUUCCUCUAAUAUCCAUAAUACAGCUGCACAGCUCAAAUUCCUUAGCAAGCUUAUUAUAAAUGAUUUUGGCUAGAGUUGUCUUACCAAUGCCACCAAUCCCACAAAUCCCAAUAAUUCGAGUUUCGGAAGCAUUAGCAUCCACCCAUUUCAUUACCUCAGCCACACGAUGAUCAUUUUCAACUAAGUUCCCAGGAAGAGGUAGUAGGAAAUCAUGUUGCUGCUUGCCCAUUAUUACUUGCUGCUUGCCUAUUAUUACUUGCUGCUCGCCCAUUGUUACUCGUACGAGUUCUUUUAUUAAUUCCGCUUCGCGCCUGUCAAACAACACAACACAUAAGAACUUAUUUUUUUUUUGGUAAAGCAUAAGAACUUAUUAAUGGCUCCACAAAACAAGGAUUGAGGUUGAUAAAUAGAAAAAUUCUUCUUCCAACGAGGAUCAAUCAAAAGAAGAUAAACGACAUACCCAUUAGCAUAUUCCGUUGAUUCGAAUACUCUAAGCUCAACUGCAUUUUUUAGAGCUACCGGCCCUUGUUGCUUGACCUCCUCAUCAAAUUUAUCCUUAUGGGAUUUGAAGGCCCGUCCAAAGUCCCCCUUUAGUUCUCGCACCUCAGAGGGUUUCACCUUGUAAAGCACAGGGAAAACAUUUUGCUCUCCUCUUUCCUUGCACUUCAUUAUAUGAAUGAGCUCGCGGAGGCACCAUUCGCUUGCAGCAUAAUUUUCUGAGAUGAUUGGGAUUGAAACCUUCGAGCGCUUGAUUGCACUGAUGAGAUUUUCACCAAUUUUCUCGCCGAAGGGGAGGUCCUUAUCAUCUUUGAACACAGGUUUUGGAUGGAACGUUAGGCCCGCCUUCUUGAGUCUAUGGUAGAGGUGUUGCGAAGUAUCGAAACCCUCUAAAGGUUCAGAAACCAUGGUUAUCAUUUCCAACUCACGGAGUGGGCCCAAAGUGGAUGGGGGAGAAUUUCGCUCCCAGACGCCGACGGCCCCAUCGAUCUUCUUCCAAAGAGUCCGAAGAGGGAAGAAGAAGAGGCAAUUUGCUCUCGCUGAGACUCGACUGUUGCUUGAGGAAUGAUUUCCCAUUGCAGCUCUCUCUCUCUCUCUCUCUCUCUGUGAGACUCGACUGGUGUGGAUAGUUUUGAGGUGGUGGAAGAAGGGGGUGAGUACAGUGGUUUGCUUGUCAACCUGGAAGAUGGCUCGGUUUGGCUGCCAGUGUUUGAGCUGGGAAGCGUCGCUGGUCAAAGAGGAACAAGGGACAGCAGGAGGCGAGACCCGAUUACUCGGAUUUUAUGGACAUUUUAAUCUCUCCGAUACUUUAAACGCGGAAAAAGGGAAGCGUACUCGACCAAUGUUUCGGGUCGGGUCCGGUAUCAUCAAAACCUGACCCGACCCAUUAACACAUCUACUUUACAGGAUGGAGAAAUUCACUUUGUAAGAGUCUAGAAAUCUAUACGUUGAACUUCUCUUCAACGGAAACAAUUAUUAAAAAUAUCUAUUAUAAAAUUAAUGUGAAAAAAAAAUCAAAUCUUCCUAUCUAAAUCAAUACGAAAUCACAAAAAUUUGAAUGGAGAACAAUAAAUAACACCAAAAAUUUAUGUAGUUUGAGCUAAUAUCACAUAAUCCAUUAUAAUCAAACGAUCAAAGUUAAAAUUGCUCACACGUUCACUUGAGUAUCAAAUCACAUCUAGAUUAGGUCAAUAUUCAAAGUGUUUAUAAAUAAAUAACUCAAUUCUAUGUAAAAUUCACGGUAUAAGAUUCACCAUGUUUAGAACUCCUCCACGCGCGAUUAAGGGGAGCGUCAUUGCGUCGUCCUCUUUCCGUCUUUGCGUUCAUAUUCUAUUGUGCAGCACUUUUCACUACCUGGCUAAACAAACCUAUGUGUUAAAGAAAAUAUUGGAUGCCUCUUAUGUAGCUAGCACAACAAAAAAGAAGGGAUCUGAAAUGAUGACACGUGUCUAAAGUGGGCCCUACCUUUGCACACAUUUACAGCCUUGCUUGCAAAGAGGAAGAAGGGAAAGCAGUAGGCGAGGGAAUAAGAGAAUUAUGCAAUAUUGAAAGUAAUUAUAUGCCCCUUGAAUUAAAGCCGAAAAAUAUUUAGUUCGAUUAAAGUGGAAAAGUAAGGAAAAUUGUUCCAAAAGAAGUUGAGAUAGACAUCUCUCAUGGAGAGUGUUGCCUGUCAAUUACCUAUCGAAAGUAUUCUGGAGAACCACUUUUACAUUUAUCUAAUAAGAUAGAUCCACCAUAUUUAUUUUAGAUCUAUAUAUGAAACACGUUUCACUUCAUAAGCUUGAUUCAUAGCUCUAAAAAAUUAUGCUUUCUCUCCUUUUUUUCUUUUUCUUUUUUGCAAGAACAUCAGCAAUUUUGCUUUUAAUUAACUUAUGAACUUCGGCAAAUGACAAAAGAUAAUAAACAUAACUAUUGGACACUCACGUUCUUAAUUACCUUCCUUUGAUUUUUGGCUCAAUUGACAUUAGCAUUAUUGGUUUUGAGACCACAAUCACCCUCACAUGACUAGAAAGCAUUCACCAAUUAUUUUCCUCAACCAGCCCACCACUCUUUUUUCUGUGUCUCAAAGGCCAUCAUGACCUUCUUCCUUUUCAUUGUCCAUGUGAAACGUAUUGGUUACCAGUCCAAAAGAGAAAGCAAAGAACUUUAAAGCACUGUUGCAAUCAAUAUGUUCCCACGGACGUCCGCGCAAAGUUUAGUUCGCGUAGCCUUAUUUCCUCUCGAUUGAACUUCCAUGUAGCUGGGGCAUCAUUGGAUCAACAAAUCAAGGUCUAUUGUAGGUCUAAUGGUAGGGAACUAUUUGGGAGAAUGUAGCUCUUGAAGUCGCAUGUGAACCUAAAGCUAAGGUUCCUAAAGUCAAGGAUUUUGUCUUUAAUAUCGUGGGCUUCAAUGAAUUUUUUGUUUAGGAAAUUUUGGCUACACAUUUCCCUCAUGGAGCGGUAAGUGGAGCAGUGACAGUCUCCGACCAGUAGAUUAACUACCACUGAGAAAAAAUUAUUAUAAAAAAUGACAUGGUGCCUAUAUCGCUAAGAUAUGGCAAGUGUUAAUACUUAAAUUUUGGCGACCCGUUUAGUCAUUUAUCACAUUAAAAAUUAAGGGGUAAUUUUAUUCCUGAAAAAAUAUUAAUUGCAUAGCAUAUAGUUUUAGAUGCAUUUAUUUUUAAUUUGCAUUUACAAUGGACCGGUGAUAGAUGGGUUCGAAUUGAUGGUUUAGAACUUUAAUUUGAUGAGUUGGGCUAAGCCCACGAAGAAAGCAAAUCGGCCAAAGUCCGUAUCCUCGGGAAGAUUUUACGGAUUUAUCUUCGUGAGAUUUCAAUUCAAAAACAAAUAUUGCGUUCGGAAAAACAAAUAUUGCAUUUGGAAAAGAAAUUUUUGUGGAUAUGGAUUUGGAAAAAUUAAAAUCCUAAUCCGUGACAUAUAAAUAGGUUAAAAUGCGUAGGGUUUUGGGGCCACACACAUUAAAUAUACGGCCACACAAAAUGGAUUUUUUUUAUCACGUCGAAAGGGCUUUUCUCUUGGUUUUCUAGGUAAAAUUCAAGACGAAAAAGAGAUUUCUUUCUUCGUAUUUAGGGUUUUUGGGAGUGGCUUUUCUUCGUUCACAACACAAAAGGAAAGGCAAAAGGAAGCCAAAAUCAGUUUUUCUUUUUCUUUUCUUCUGACCAAGUGCAGAAGAAAAGAAAGAGGACUGCAGCAGAAAGUGCACAAGAGAAUUAAGAGAGAGAUCGUGAGUAGGAGAGAGGGAGAGACCGUCAGUGCCCUCAAAGACUGAAGAUGGUGAUGAAGCGGUGAUGUUUGUAGUCUUUCUCGCGAGUGCAGUUUGACAAUUUGGUCAAACACCAACUCGCUGUCAAGUUCCACAAAGUGAAGCUUUUCCCGGCCACAAUACGAAGGAAAAAAAAAAAAAAAAGAGGCUGCGGGCUCAACAUAAAGCUCAAGAGAAAGAAAGGCAAUUGAGCCUUCCUCCGCGCCGGACCCACGACAAAUCCAGGAGAUCCUCAUCGGCAUUCCACGAUUUCAUCACCGCUGCUGCAACUUGGCGACCUUCCCUGGUUCCUGUGACAUUCCAGCAGUCCCCCCACGCAGCUGCGCUCUCACCGUCGGAUGCUGUGCCCCCACCGUUUGCGACGCUGCUCCCUUCGCUGUCCAGCCUUGACGUUGCGAGCUUGCUGCUUGAACUGACAGUGAGCUGCAGAGUCCCAAGCCCCGACGAUAGAGCCGCAGCCUUGCCUGCGGAUCCUGCAACGUUGGCGACUAGACCAAUAUCCAGCGUUACCAUGAGCCUCCAGGGAACGACGAGUGACCAGCAACCCUAGUCGACUCCUUGUCGUAGUUGCUGCAUCCGAAUCUGAUUUUAGGGGCACCCCUCCCUACGAAGGCCUCGUUUGAUUGAGCAUUUGGCCGUUGGAUCUCUAAAGUCCUUUAGUCAAAUGCAAAGGUAUUUGGUUCGUUUUUUUGAGCAACUUUGGCGAGAUGCAAUUGCAUCUCCAAGUGGCUCUAAAGGCCUUUAGCCCAAUGCAGCUCCGAAGCUACUUUGGGAAGUUGCAUAUCCGGAAUGCAAGUCUCGGUACUGUUCAUCUUUUCCAAAACCACCACACACCAUUGGAAGAAGCUGACCAAAGGCCGGCGAAGGGGUCGCGCGUGCCAGCGAGGCUCCGGUGACUGCCGCCUGAGGGUCUCCCGACCCCGGCGACCGUCUCCGGACCUCAGGCGACGCCUGGGGUCACCUGGGGUCAUGCCGCCAAAUCCGGCCAUCCGGCCGCCAGAUCCGGCGGUUCGGUGGCCGGACUUCAAUAAAAGAAAAAAAAACACAAAUGUUUGUUUUGUUUUUUUAAUUUAAUAAAAGUAAAUAUGCAAAUUUUACCAAACAGUAUUUUGUCCAAAGUUGUAUUUUAAUACAAAUUUUACCAAACCAAAUGCAUUCCCCAAAAGCCGAACUAAACACGUUCCCACGAGUAGUCCCCUUGAUGAGCACAACUUUUUGACGAGUUCUUCAUCAGCUAGCCGCUCAACCUUGAGCACACCACCAAGAGUUGUUUCAUCGUGCUAAGAAGCAUCACCGCAAAUAAGCCUUGUUGUGAUCCGUCACCGACCUUUGCCCCGUGAUCUCUCCGGGCUGAGCACCAGUGAAGACCUGCCGUCCAGCAGAGCCGGACCACCCGUGGCUACCCUCAUCGAUGCCCCGGCCUCAACAACUCGCUACUCGGAUUGUGCCGUUGAAUUUCUUUGUUUUGCGGGUUGACUUGUGCGCCGGUGACCAGGUGGCCAUGUCCCUAUGAUUCCUGAGUAUAUCGUCCGUGAAGAAAUUCACUCGUGUUCGCACUUCGGCGUCCAUCAAGUCACAACACUACUGGUUGAAAUCAAAGAAGAAAAAUACGAGAAUUCUCGAUGGAAUAUUUGAAUUCACGGCCACUCAUGAAGUUCACCUAAAAAGUUAUAGCCAAAGGACAAACACGUGGGAAAGAAUUGGCCUCCAUGUAGCCUGAGGCGGUGGAAAUUUCGCUGUUGGUGGAGAGGGGGUUUAGAUAAAAAAAUAGAAAUAUAAGGGUGCAUGGCAGCAGGGGAAACACCGGCAGUAAGGAGAUUCGAGGAUUUGGGGUCUAAUUCUUUAAUCCUAUAUAUUGCGUUGGUCCUUUCCGCGCAUUUGUUUUGAUUUUGCAGUCGACCGAGCACCACACCGUGAAUUACCAGCUCGAGCAUCCCAAGCCGAGAUGCCUUGCCGGCUUGUCCUGAAGCACAGCCGGUCCUCACAAGUUGGCCGCCGAUUCGAUUUGGGAAUGUCACCUACGUGACAUCGUGAAUUAGGUAAGACUCUUGAUUAAUUUGAUUUUCAUAUAUAUCGUUGCCUAAUUCGUAAUAUCACAAUCUUUCUUUGAAUGUUUGAUCGAUAUUGCCAUAUCCAGAAGAUCUCUUGAUCCCUCAUAAAUUAGAGAUUAAUCGCUAAUUUCACAACAUGCUCACAAUUGAUAGUCCGAUUUUCACGCCCGAAAUCUGACUUGCAAUCGCACGAAAAAAUUGUCAAUCCGAUCUCAUGCUUGAGAUUCGAUUCGCGAAUUUGUUUAAAAUUAGUUAAUCCGAUCUCAUGUGCGAGAUAUGAUUCGUCAAUUUAUGAAUAUCAACCUUAUCUGGCUUGAUUCGUUGUCGUUUGAAUCGAUUUUAUUCUCGAAAAAGAAAACCCAAUUUUUUUUUGAAUUAGAUUAGGUUCAUUGCUUGUUUUAGGGUUAUUUUACAUAUUUAGAAUAGGAAAUUUAUUAUUUUUGAAAAAAUAAAAAUCCAAAAAAUACAUUCAUUUAGGAUGUUAGUUUUUUUUUUUUUUAAUUUAGAUUGCACAUUUAAUUAUGCGUCAAUUUUAAUUUCGAAUUUCAUAGAAAAGAAAAAGAAAAAGAAAAAGAAAAAGACUAGAGUUAGGGCAUUCUUUGUGCGUCAUUUCAUAUUAGGAUAAGAUCGUUUGUUUAAUUUUUUAAAUUAAUUAUAGGUUUAGAUAAUUUCUCCUAGAUAGAUUGCAUUUUAUAAUUACUUGGUUAAGAUAAUGUUCUAGUUUAAAUUAGGAUUUGGCUUAACUUAAUUCCUAAUACAAAUUGGAUGAUAUUUUAACCUGCAUAGCUAAUUUUCGCAUUUUUUCUUAAUUUCGAAUGUCAUAGAGAAUACAAAAAUUGUCUUAGAAUAAAUCAAUUUCAUUCUUUAGGACAGACUACAUUUUAUUUAUGUCAUGCAGUCUAGGUUAUAUUGCCAUGUCAUAUUAUUUUAUGUUAGAUUAGUAGCAUGCAUUGCAUGAUUCUUCAUUGAAUGAGUGAAAACAAAAAAGAAAUUGCAUGUUAAUUAGAAAUCAUAUCUAGGACCAUCGAUGUGAAUUAUGAUAUAACAUUGUAGAUGUUUUAAAUGCCAUGAGGUAAAUCCUGCAAUUUAUUCACUCCUUUAUUUGGGUGUUAAAUUGACAGUUUACGCACCCGCAUGAUAACCUCACAUGUUAGGGAGAUAAAUUAAAAUCAAUUCAAGCUGCUUGCCAAACAUUUUUCAAAAUAAAAGAGAAAUGUACCGAAAGGGCGUUAGAGAAAUCUAGCGUAAUCAAGUUCCCGAACUCACAAAUCUCUUAUUCGUAAGAGUAAAGUAAAUCUCCCAUUACUUUACUUGGGUUUCUAAUCGACCCACCGAAAAAUAGAUUAGUGGUGACUCCUGACUAAAAAAUUAUUUGCAUGUUAAGAAUUUGAACCUAAGUCAUGAAUUGGUAUGGGUUUGGUAGAGCCCGAGUUAAGUCUAGGCUUAGUAAUCCAUUAGUCAAAUUCUAAGUGGUUCACUCAAAAAUUUGGUUGCGACAGCAAGUAGUGUAGGCUUCUAUUCAGGAUCGAGACAUGACGAUUGCCACAUGAAGCGCGGCGCCCUCUUUUCUCCUUCCUUUUUCUUUAAUUUAUUUUUGUUAAAUAUCCUUUUCUUUCUUACCAAAAGGAACUCUUAUUCCUUUCGAGAGAGAGAUAGAGAGAGAGAGAGAGUAAUUGUAUAUUUUCUUGAAGAAAUUAAAAAGGUUGUGUUUGGUGUGAAAGAACCACGGCAAGAAGAAAAAAAAACAGAGAGAGUGGAAAAUAAGAAAGAAGGAUAUAGAGAUGAGGUGCGAAUGGGAAGGCUGUGUUUAGCUUUACGUGGAGAAAGGGAUGUGUGGUAGGGACGAUCACAGAUUACAAGUCAAAAGUGAUAUCCUAUCUCAAUUAGAUUUAAAUGAAGAACGACCGGAUAUCCUUCCUUCACGGUAACCGGCAAUGCAUCGCGACACGUAAUUACGCCUUGCACCACAUCGGUUGGGUGGCCUUUUUCAAUCAUUGUAUUUCGCAAAUGGAAAAUUUGGUCUUUCUAUCUCAUGAAUCGGGGACCUCUGUGACUUUCCCCAUCUGUCCGUACCGCUUGUCUUUCCAAGUCUGCAAAGCCACGAACCUCUUCUUUUUAGCGUGUCAAUGUGAAACACGCUGGUUGCCUCUAGCUGUUCAAAAGAAAAAAUGAGAGAGACUUAAAGCAUCCACAUCAAUCGGUACGCUCCCCGAAUCGUCCUCCUGAAGUUUUUGUUCGGGUAGCCUUCAUUCAAUCUUAUUCAAAUUAUGUGUAGCACGCGCAUAAAUUGACAAAAGAUACCGUAAUUCUUAUCUUCAGCGAAAAUAAUUAUAAGAAAUCAACGUCUACUUAUCGAGGCUACUGUGUAGAAAAUAGUUCACUCCAACGAGACGGCAGAGUUUCUUUCCUAAAGCGGUUAGCUCUUUCUGGUGUGCUCCAUGUAUGCACCAAGGGACAUAUGGGGAUCCAAUUUCGUGGAAUUUCGAAAAUAGUUGGGCAUCACAAACAAGCAGUAUUUGAGAUAAAAGUUGGAUACUCGCACUGCGAUCACCUGACUUGUAAUAGUACCGAACCGACAUGGUGGGAGGCGCAAAAUGAAGUUUUCUUCGGCCAAAAUAGAGAGCAGAAAAAGCACGGCAUCAAAUAGUAUAAGCAGUUUUUCGCAGAUUUUGAAAUAGGACCCAUUUAUAAUUACAAUUUCAAAGCUUCAUUCGCUAUGAGUUAAGCCAAUUUUGGAAAGUCUCGGUUACUCCAAUGGGAGUGUCUGGAUCCCGAAGCGGUUUGCUCGAAGGGGUGUGUUCCGCCAAUCUUUGCCUUCCUCUGCUAAUAACUGCCACCUGCAAAAAGUCGUCCUUCCAAGGUCCCCAGGCAACGAAAGUGAACGGGAUUUGGCGAGCAUGUUAGCUGUUGGAUUAAGAGAGGAAGCUGUGCACUUUCAGAUGCAUUCUAUAGGCUACCUGCUCAAGCGGCCCGGUUAGGAACAAUCUGGGAAAACUACAAUCCUUCGUUAAGAAUAAGUUCCUUCAAAGUCUCAAGCACUAGAGAAAAAUAAUCAUUCAUAAAAAGUUACUAAUGAUGGGAGCCUUGAUGACUAGCACUCAUAGAGAAGUACGAACUCAUUCUCAUAUACAAAUGUUACCUACUAGCUAUAGAAAGAUCCCUCGUUAAAACGAGCACAAUGAGAAAAACCAUGCUUUCAUUGGUAAAAUUACUAACCAUUAGUAUCCCCUAAGGUAUGGGCAUUUGAGGAAAAUCACCAUCUUACACAUGCUUUAUUUAAAUGAUAAUCAUCCAAAGUUAUGCCUUUCAAGAGGUAAAAUUGAAAUGAUUCUUUUAUGGCUGUCUUCCAAUCUUUUAUGUACGUCAUUCACACGUUAAAUCUUGUGUGAUCGUUUUUUAAUGUACUCAGAAAAGAAGGAAAUGAAUUUUCCCGGUUUGUUUAGACAAAAGGCAAAAUUAGGUGGGUUUCACGCACUGUAUUCAAAAUCAACGCAACUUGGUUGGCAAGUUGGCAAUAAAUUUUAAACUUUGCUCUUGUCAUAUUUUAAUCACGAUGAUGAAGACACAAUGCAGAGCUGGCAAGAAAAGGACCUGCGCAGCGACAUCAAAUUGACUUUAAUCUGCUUUUUAUCCCGCUAAAGUUGCAACAAAUUGACUUUAAUCUACUUUUAUCCCCACUAAAGUUACAUCGAAUUGACGUCCGUUAAUAUUUUAUCCAGCGAAAGUUACAAGUUUCAUCAAAUUGGCACCUAUUAAUUUUUUAUUCCAAAGAGUAGGUACUAAAAGUUACGUGUUACCCGUGGAAGUCUUUGUUUAAUGUUUUCUUUUGAGCAAACUCCAAAGCUGUCGUUCGGUGGCCAUUAAAUAAUUACCAAAAGAAAGAACUGUAUCUUCCUUGGGAUUUUUUUUUGGUAAAUUGGGAUUUCGAAUCUUCAUCAUUUGUGUUUUUGUUGACUGACUUUUUUUUUUUUGGUCAGAUUUUUGUUGACUGACUUGAUCAGUCACAUUUGUACCCCUGAAAUCCAGGUGAGCACACUCAGCACUAGCAGCAGCAGGAUCAUUUUCCUUUUUGACAUCUCUCCUCUCGCAAACCUCGCCUUAAAUUCUUCAAUUCAAUAUCUCUUUUAUUUUGUGAAAUAGUACCUCAAAUUGAUUAAGAAAAUAAAGUAUUGCUCUGAUUGAUUGAAGAAGUGACUAUUAUGUCUAAUUAGAUAUAACUUAGUAAUUUAUGUUUGGGAGUAAGUUGAGUUAGGUGAACCCCGCAAUUAGUUAAAACAAUAGUAGAAUAUAAGGGUUCAAAGAUUUUCUUGAAAAUAAUGGAUGCCUAUGGAGUAUAAAAAAGGGGCAAUUUCAAAAUUGGUCCUCAAUAUUCUUUAUAAAAGUUCAAUUUGAUGGCUGAACUUUAAUUUUGUUUAAUUUGACUAUUUAUUUUUUGAAUCGGGAUCAAUAUAAUUCCUCUAAUCAACUUGGUCAUGUUAGCACUUAAUGUGAUAAUCCAUCUCCACCGUGAGACUUGCGAUCGCUAGCCUGAUUGGGCUGUCUAGAGCCACAUUAGCAAAAUCUAGAAACCAAAGGGGGAGAGAAUUGGGGGAGGGAGAAAGAAGUCGGUGAUGGGAGAUGGGCGAUGGUGCUCGAUUCCUAAUUUUAAAGCAAUAUAGAUAUUGGAGUAAGUUGAUCUCAAAAUUUUUUGUAGUAUGUGUGUGAAGAAGUGAGUUAAUGACUUUUCGUUAAAAUAAAAAGAUAAAGUUUGAAAGGAGAAAAUAAAAUCUUAAUGGAUUUGCUUAUCCAUAAGUUUAUGGCGUGUAAUAUGGUACGAGUACAUGAAAAUCUUUCAAGUCCCUUGAUGUCUCGGGUAUAUGCUCAUGUUGAUAGUCAUAGGAUGGUUGGGAUGGACGGUACAUAGAGAUGUCAAAGUUCGAUCCUGACAAUAAAGGACGAAAAGGGUGAUUUUCAGUACUAAAUUUUUGCGCUUCCCCAAAUUUUGUGAUGAUCAUAGUUUGAUUUUUUUAUAAAACUCGAAAUAUUAUUAAAAUUUCGGAGUAAAAUUCACAUGACAGAUGAAACAGGCCUGAGAGAUAUAUAGUGCGAUAUUUACAAUUUACCCACAGGGAAAACUUCUCCGUUUUCUCUGAGACCGAACGCCGGACAUCAAACCCACUUGGUUUGAAUGCUGAAUUGUUUGGUUAAUUUGACUUUAGUUGGCUCUUGUGAUUCGUUUGGUUGCUUGGAUCAAAUCCUUUGGAAGAUAAAACAAUCUUCUCUUCGCAUGGGUUGUAUGCUAGGGAUAUUUGGUUAAGUGCAAGGAAUGUCCCCAAUGGCAAUCUCUGCAAAUCGUCAAUGAGGAGUUUGCAAAGGUUCCGUUAAAAAAAUGUCUCCAAUUUGAGCACAUAAAAGGAGCCCGAUUCAAGUAGGUUUUUUAGUUCAAUUAAACUUCUUCAUUUGAGUGGUCUCUUAGUUUGGUAAGUUUCUUAAAAAGGAUUUCAUAUAUAGGAUUCAAAUCUUUUCUAUACAACUAGUCGGUCUUUUCCGUGAAUUAAAUAUAAGAGGGGCUUUAGAUGUUCAAGCCUACUUAGGAUGUGUUCGAUAAUUAUUCUGUUCUUGAUAAUUUCUGCCGAUAAAUAGUAUUUUUUUUUUAUGAUUUUGUUAUCAGGACGAGUUUCUAAGUAUUCGAAGAUGUUCGGUAACUGCAUAAAAUUUAUAUUCUCAAAAUAGAAAAAUAAUAAAAAUGCACUUAGUACAAACCUUAAAUUUUAUUGUGAUGUAGCAUUUCUUUUAAUUAAUGAAUAUUUUUUUCUUCUUCCUCUGGUCAGUCACUGGUUACGAUAAUAGCUGAUGACCUUGCCAGCCUCAAGGGAGCCUUAAUAGAUCCGGCGAGGCCAAGCCUCACCUAGCCAUGGCGAGGCUCGACCAUGACGAGGUUGCCAAACCUCGGUCAUCACCAUGCUUGGCGAAUGACUAAAGGAAGAAUUAGAAGAGGAAGAGGAAGAGAAAAAAAAAGAAAAGAAAAAAAAAACAAAUGGUUUGGACUUGAUUCUUGAGUUAUUAUUGGGAACAAAAUAGCAAUUUUUUUCUAUUUUUUGAUUCCGUUCCAAAUCUAUUCCUGAGAAUAAAAAAAAUGACAAAACGGGUUUCUAUUUUUUUUUCAAAGGAAUAAAAGAAUAGAAAUAGUUACUACUUGGCACGGUACCAAAUAGUAACUUAAUCUUAUAGUAAUAUUUGUGAAUUCUUUUGUGUGAUUAAGAGAUUAUUUCACGAUGAAUUGUGAAGCCAAAUGCCAUGUUGGUUAGUGGGUACAAUGGGAGCUGAAAAAUAUUGAGAGGUAUUUUGUAAACUCCAUUAUAUUGCUUGAUUUAUAGCGAAAUCUUGUGUUACUUUUCCCGUGGAUAAACCGACUGAACAACGUAAAUUCAGGUAUUCGAUUUAUUUUCUCAAACUUUUGUAUAAAAUUUUAAAGUAAUUAUUUUGACCUUUUCAUUUAUUCAUAUUGGGAAUCUAGAGACGCAUUCAAAUUUUGACCAAAAAAAUUGAUUUUAAAUUGACUAAAAACAAUUCCUUAAUUGUUGCCAUCCUGGGGUCGUCAGUCCUCGCCCUGGACGUCUGCUCCCAAUUGGCCUUGAAAACCACUCCCAUUAUAAAAGAAGAAGAAGAAUGAGAAGGACGAAAGAAAAGAACAUAAUAGCCAUAUUGCCACUAUAAUUAUGUUAUUGUGAUCACAAGAAAUAAUUAUUCAAGAAGUAUACUUAAUCUUCAUGAGAAUAAGAGAAUUUUAGAAUAUUAAAAGUAAUUCUUCGCACCUUGAACUAAAGCUGAAAAAUAUUUAAUUCAAUUACAGUGGAAAGGUAUAAUGAAAAAUUUUCAAAAAAAGAAGUUAAAAUAGACAUCAUUCAUGAAGAGUGUCGCAUGUAUCCACUAAAAGUGUUUUGGCGAGCCACUUUUACUUUUAUCUAAUAAGUUGAUUCACCGUAUCCAUUUUAGAUCUAUAUAUGAAAAAUAUUUCAUUUUAUAAGCUUAAUUCAUGACUCUAAGAAAUUAUGUUCUUUUUUUUAUGUGCAAGCACACCACUCUUAAUUAACGUAUGCACUUUGACAAUGACAUAAGAUAAUAAACUUAACCAUCGGGCACUCAUAAGAUAAUUACACCUCCACUACAUCGGUCGGGCAAUCACUGUGCUUCACAAAUGAAAAAAUAGGUCUUUCUAUCUCAUGUGGACAGUGGACGCGCACGGCGCAUCUAUCUCCCUCUUCCUUUCCUCCUUUCCCUUUAUGAUUAUUAUUCCAUGGAGGAACAGAUGCAGAGAAACAGAGACCUCUCUACUUCACUCACUGAAACCGCAGUCCCUCUGUCUCAUUGUGAAUUCACAGUGCUUGAGCGACCUGUAAAGAAUCACACCUAAUAUUUGAUCGACUGCUUCCCGGGGGACCUUUGUCGCUUUCCUCAUCCGUCCCUGCCGCUCUUCUUUUCCGAGUCUGCAAAGCCACGAGCCUCUUCCUUCUGGCGUCACUGUGAAACACGCUGGUUGCCUCCAGCUUUUCCAAAGCUAAAGGAAAAGAGGGUUAAAGCACCCACAUCAAUCAGUACGUUCUCUGAAUGGUCCGCCUGAAGUUUUUCCGAGUAGUCUUUUAUUCACUCUUAUUCAAGUUCCGUGCAGCACGCGCAUCAUCAGAUCGAGAAAUUAACAAGGGAUUCCGUAAUUAUUAUCUUCGACGAAAACAAUUAUCAGAAGUCAACGUCUACUUAUCGAGGAUACUAUGUUAGAAAUGGUAAAGGGUAAUAGUAUGAAGCUAUAUGGGAGACGUACAAUAGAUGCUUUCACAAGAAAAUGAAUAGGAGUUAUCGAAGUCCUCUGUGAAAGCUCAGGUUCUUUCAAAGUUUUUGGGCUCCAAACUAAGGAGAAAAAAGAAAAGAGUUGCCUCAUCCGUGCGGGAAAGAAACAAAAAAAAGUUCACUUUGCUUCAAGUGUUUUUGCGGGUCAUGUGAGAAAAACAAUCUUAAUAAUAAGUGUAAGCUUUCACUAAUCAUAAUUUAUGUUGUGUCAUAAUCAUGCGACAAUUCUUUUUUUGUGUAUGUUUAUUCAUACUAUAUUUUUCAAUUAAAUAUGUCCCGAGCCAAGUUGCUCAUUACAAUUUUCUCAUGUUGCGGCUACUGUGAUUCCAUACCUGACAACAAUGAAUGAUAAAUCAUGUCUAGUUUCAGAAUGAAUUUUGCUCCAAGGUUACCUCCAGAUGAUUUUUCAACCAAACAAUUACGACCUUUUAUUUUUUAAAUUAAAAAUUUGAAGACAUGGCAUAAUUUGUGCAAUGCUCAUAGCUCAAAGAUAGGCAAGUGGGAACAAUAUGUGAAUGGGUAGGCAGGAUCACAUGCAUCGUACCAAAAGCCACGUACGUCAUACUCGUGAAUGUUUUUUUGUAUUUUAAACCGGUUAUCAUAUCGGGAAAAUCGUCAAAUCAAUUCUAAUCUUAUUAUAUAAAUAUCAAUUUAAUUUUAAAUUUUAUAAUUUCAUCAAUUUAAUUCUAAAUCUUUAAGCAAUAUUUCAAUAUAGCCCUUGUGAUCAAUUUUUAAUGAAAAUCACUGGACAAUCUAAGAUAAUUAAAUCACCAUAUCAAUGAUUUUCGAUAGAAAUAGGCCAUAGAGGUUAUAUUGAUAUAUUACACAGAAGUUUACAUGAUUAAGUUGAUAAAAUUGUUAUAAUUUAUCAAGAUUGUUUUCGGAAGUGACGCAUGAUGCAAUAGUAGCGAUAUGGUACUAGUGCUGAAAUUAUUGGAAGCCUUCCAUGAGGUUUGCUCUUUGGAGUCAUUGUGAAAAUAUGGAAUGCAUUCGUACGAAUUGGCUGACACGCACUGUCCUAAAAGCUCGAUCUGUGGCUGGCAUGGGCGGAGUACAAACACGAGUUGGAAAAGGAAUGUGAACCUUCAAGAAACCUAUCUCCACGGUAAUUGUUUGGGCAGCUUAUGUACACUACCUUGGUCUAGUGCCUCAACUUGAACUUCACAUACAUUUUGGACCUCAACCGCUAUAUUCUGACGCUUGAAUGAAAAUAACAUAAAAUCAUAAACAUGAUUUUUCCUAACAUAAUGAGUAUGAUCGACAUUCCACACUUGGUCAAGUUUGACAUGUAAAUAUGAUUAAGGAAUCCUAGAUGGCCGGGGAAUCUUGUGAAUAAAAUAUAGCAAUUGAUCAAAAACAUACUAAUGAUUUACCAUGAAAAGAUUGUUAAGGGACUGAGAUAGUUGAACUUAAGGAUUUUCCUGAAGAGAACAUAUGGGUUAGUUGAAGCAAUUGUUCUUCCACUAGAGCAUCCUCAUGGAUAAUAUAAAAUGGAAAGAAUUUACGUAAGGUAAUAAAUGGAACCAAGUAUAAUUUAUACGGAGGAAGCAAAUUAUUCUUCAAAAGAAGUGUUUCGAGAAAAUUAUAACUUGGAUAACACUUAUCUACGACUCUACUAACACUUUACCAGCAUCAUCAAAAUCCCGAAUUUCAUCAAUCAAAUACUAUUCUCUACACCAUAUGCAAUUUAGAAUAAUAAAUAAAAAAGAAACCACACAUCCACGCACAAUUUUGAGUAGUAAAAUUUUCCUUUCGAAAAUACAUAAAAUUUACUCAAUUUUUCUCUUUCAGCAAUACAUAAUUUUUUAUAUAGUACAAAUCUCGAAUGAAUUUGCGUAUUUCCUAAACGUUUGUACAUAACAGGUUAAAUUUAGUCACUUAUUCCGAAUUUUCCAACUGAAUCGGAGAUAAGAUAGAGACGACAUCUCCAUCACAUUAUGGAAAAGCAUUCAUCAAUUAUUUUUCUCAUCCAUCCGAAUCGCUCAUCUUUCCGAUUCUCCAAGGACAUCAUGACCUGUACCUUUUAGAGCCAAUGCAGAACGCAUUGGUUGCCAGCCCAAAAGGAAAAGGAAAAAAUUUAAAGCACCGACACCAUCAGUACGUCUCCGGCACGACCACGUGAAGUAUCUGUCCUCUUAUCGAACCGUGCAGCGGGGGCAUCAUUGAAUCUAGAGAUCAACAUCCAUAGGCUACUAUGUAGCAAAUAGUAAGUCUCUCGGCGGGGAACUAUUUGGAAAACUUAGGGUGCGUUUGUUUGCAUUUCUGUUUAAAAAUUGUUCUGGGGAACAGAAAUAGAAAAAAGUGUUUCUGUUCCGGGGAACAAUUUUUGAACAAAACAACGCGUUUGGUAAACUUGUUUCGGAAAUAAAAAAUAAACAGAAACAUGUUUGGUAAAUUUGGAUAAUUUUUUUUUAUUUCUUUUAAUUUUUCUAUUUUUUUCUUAUUUUUUCUUUUUUUCUUUUUCAUUUUUUUUUCUUCUUUUGGCCGGUCGCCGGCGAGGGUUGGCCUCGCCUUGAUCUGGCAAGGCCGAGCUCGCCGGGCCACCGCUAGGCGACGUCGACUCGCCUAGAUCCGGCGAGGCCGAGGCUUGCCGGCCGCUGGCCUCGCCGGAUCUAGGCGAGAUCGAGCUCGCCCAGGCCGGCGCGAGGUCAGCCUCGCCUUGAUCCGGCGAGGCCGAGCUCGCCCAGCGGCGGGUGAGGCGCGGUCUUGCCGGGCCACCGCCAAGCGAGGCCGAGGCUCGCCGGCCGUUGGGCGAGGUCGGCCUCGCCGGAUCUGGCGAGCNNNNNNNNNNNNNNNNNNNNNNNNNNNNNNNNNNNNNNNNNNNNNNNNNNNNNNNNNNNNNNNNNNNNNNNNNNNNNNNNNNNNNNNNNNNNNNNNNNNNNNNNNNNNNNNNNNNNNNNNNNNNNNNNNNNNNNNNNNNNNNNNNNNNNNNNNNNNNNNNNNNNNNNNNNNNNNNNNNNNNNNNNNNNNNNNNNNNNNNNNNNNNNNNNNNNNNNNNNNNNNNNNNNNNNNNNNNNNNNNNNNNNNNNNNNNNNNNNNNNNNNNNNNNNNNNNNNNNNNNNNNNNNNNNNNNNNNNNNNNNNNNNNNNNNNNNNNNNNNNNNNNNNNNNNNNNNNNNNNNNNNNNNNNNNNNNNNNNNNNNNNNNNNNNNNNNNNNNNNNNNNNNNNNNNNNNNNNNNNNNNNNNNNNNNNNNNNNNNNNNNNNNNNNNNNNNNNNNNNNNNNNNNNNNNNNNNNNNNNNNNNNNNNNNNNNNNNNNNNNNNNNNNNNNNNNNNNNNNNNNNNNNNNNNNNNNNNNNNNNNNNNNNNNNNNNNNNNNNNNNNNNNNNNNNNNNNNNNNNNNNNNNNNNNNNNNNNNNNNNNNNNNNNNNNNNNNNNNNNNNNNNNNNNNNNNNNNNNNNNNNNNNNNNNNNNNNNNNGCCGGCGCCUUGAUCUGGCAAGGCCGAGCUCGCCGGGCCACCGCUAGGCGACGUCGACUCGCCUAGAUCCGGCGAGGCCGAGGCUUGCCGGCCGCUGGCCUCGCCGGAUCUAGGCGAGAUCGAGCUCGCCCAGGCCGGCGCGAGGUCAGCCUCGCCUUGAUCCGGCGAGGCCGAGCUCGCCCAGCGGCGGGUGAGGCGCGGUCUUGCCGGGCCACCGCCAAGCGAGGCCGAGGCUCGCCGGCCGUUGGGCGAGGUCGGCCUCGCCGGAUCUGGGCGAGAUCGAGGUCGCCCAGGCCGGCGCGAGGUCGGCCUCGCCAUGGCUGGGCGAGCUCGCCCAGCGAUGGCGAGGUCGACCCUCGCCCAGCUACGGCGAGCCUCGGCCUUGCCGGGGGACGGCGAGCCUCAGCCUCGCCGAGGGCCGGCGAGCCUCGCCGUGGCUGGGCGAGGCCGCUGGCCCUCAUCGGCCGGUCGCCGGCCAUGGCCGAGGCCGGCGACCGGCCAAAAGAAAAAAGAACAAGAAAAUAAGAGAAAAACGAAAAAAAAAAUAAGUGUUUCUCAAAAGUGUUUCAAAAACAAGAAACACAAAAUUUGUGUUUCUUGUUUCUGUUUCUUUUUUGUUCCUGGGAACAAAAGAACAAAAAAGGAACAGAAAUGCGACCAAACGCGUUUAUGUUCCUUUUUUGUUCCUAGGAACAAAAAAAAAACAGCAAAAGUGUUUAAAAACAAAAAAAAAGAAAUACAACCAAACGCAGCCUUAUUUUUCUCAUCCAUCUGAAUCGCUCAUCUUUCCGAUUCUCCAAGGCCAUCAUGACCUGUACCUUUUAGAGCCAAUGUGGAACGCAUUGGUUGCUAGCCCAAAAGGAAAUGGAAAAAAUUUAAAGCACCGACACCAUCAGUACGUCCCGGGAACGACCAUGUGAAGUAUCUGUCCUCUUAUUGAACCGUGCAGCGGGGGCAUCAUGAAUCUAGAGAUUAACAUCCAUAGGCUACUAUGUAACAAAUAGUAAGGGCCUGUUUGGUAACGUGCCAAACAGUGCCAGAUUCUGAUUUUUUGUUCUCAGAAUCAAUUUGGGAUGAGAAUUGUGUUUGGUAAAAUUUUUGUUCCCGGAAACAGUUUGGACAAGAUUUAGGAAUAAAAAAAAUUUGAUUCUCCGUCCGAGAAUCAGAAAAAGAAUCAAAACGGUGAAACCGUCGCUCUUCCCUUUUGUCAUCCCGGUUACCGUCCGCUACCGUCCGUCCCCUAUCGCCGCUGGUCGCCGCCGGUCGCCGGUUUAGCGAGGUCGUCAGAGGCUCGCCAGGCCAGGGUGAGGUCCGGCGAGCUCGCCAAUGGCCAGGCUGGCCUCGCCCAGCCUCGGCGAGGCCGGCUUGGCCACUGGCAGGGCUGGGUGAGCCUCGUCGAUGGCCAGGCGAGCCUCGCCCAGCUGCCGAUGAAGCUCGCUUGGCCACCGGCGAGGCUCGGCUGACGAAGGCUGACCUCACGGAGGGCCGACAAUGCUCCGGUGAGCGUCACCAGCCCUCGUCUAGCCGGUCACCAGUCUGGCGACCUGCCAGAUGAAGAAGAAGAAGAAUAGGAAAAGAAGGGAAAAAAAAGUAAAAAAAGUAAAAAAUUAUUUAAAAUUUAUUUAAAAAUUAAAAUAAAUUAAUUUAGAACAUAAUCAAUUAACACAGUAUCAAACGCAAUUUUAUUCCAGAAUAAAAAUUUUUGGACAUUUACCAAACGCGUUUUUUUACUCAGAAUCAGUUUCCGGGAACAAAAUAAAAAAUAAUCAUUUCUAGUCAAAAUUAACUUCCGGGAACAGAAUCGUUACCAAACGCGCCCUAAGUCUCCCGAUGGGAACUAUUUAGGAAACUUAUUUUUCUCAUCUAUUCGAAUUGCUCAUCUUUCCGAUUCUCCAAGGCCAUCAUGACCUGUACCUUUUAGAGCCAAUGUGGAAUGCAUUCAUUGCCAGCCCAAAAGGAAAUGGAAAAAAUUUAAAGCACCGACACCAUCAGUACGUCCCAGGAACGACCAUGUGAAAGUAUAUGUCCUCUUAUCGAACCGUGCAGCGGGGGCAUCAUUGAAUCUGGAGAUCAACAUCCAUAGGCUACUAUGUAGCAAAUAGUAGGUCUCUCGGUGGGGAACUAUUUGGGCAUACAAUAAGGGUCCGCAUGAGAACAUUUCUUGGCUGGGGAACAAUUUUUUUUCAGAAAUAGUUAUUUUCUAUUUCUAUUAUGGGGAACAAUUUCUAUGUAAAAAAACCCGUUUGAUAACUACACAAAAUUUUUACUCUAGAAAUAGAAAAAGAAUAGAAAUGCGUUUGGUAAAAACAGUUUAUUUUUUAUAUUUAUUUGUGUUUUAUUUUUUCUGGUAUAUCGUGGCCACCGCCGGACGCCGCCGCCGCCGAUUGCGGUCGACCGGCGGCGGCGGCAACGGUCGGUCGGCCUCCGGUGGCCGCGGCAACGGUUGGCCGGCGGCGACGGUCGGUCGGCCUCCGGCCGGCGGCAGCGUCCGGCGGUGACCGGCGGCGACGGUCGGUCAACGACCGGCGAUGGCGGCGGUGACCGGCGGUGGUGACGGUCGGUCGACCUCUGGUGACCGGCGGCGGCCGGCAGCGUCCAGCGACGUCCGGCAGUGAUCGGCGGUGACCGGCGGCGGCGACAGUCGAUCGGCCUCCGGCGACCGGCGGUGGACGGACGACGGCGGGUGGUGGUCAACGGCGGUCAAUGACGGUUAGCAAGAGAAGAAUAAAAGAAAAAUAAAAUUCACUUAUUUCUUAAACUUGUUCCCAGGAACAAGAAGCAACUUUUUUUUACUUCUCAUUUCUAUUCCAAAACUAUUUCCGGGCUAACUUUUUGUUUCCGGGAACAAAAAACUAACUUGCCGUUAUCAAACAGGUUUCUAUUCUUUUUUUGUUCUGGGGAAGAGAAGAAUAGAAAUUUUUGGGCUGGGGAAGGUUACCAUGCAGACCUUAAAUGUUUUCACAAGAAAAUGAAGGAUGAGGAGCUCUUGACGUGUACGCGAAGCUAAAAUUCAUAAAGUUUAGGAUUUUGUCUUUUGUGGACUUCAAUCUUGGUGGCUAAACGUGUGAAUCUUUUGCGCUGGAAUUUUGGCUACACGCCUUUCAAAAAAAUUUGCUCCGGAAGUUAACGUUGUUAAAGCAAUAGAUUGGUGCCUACAAUUAGGGCAUUUGAAAGCUUCAGAAUGUAAAGCUUCACAAGUAAAAAGAAAAAGAGAAUUGGCUUGUCCGUCCGUGAGGGAAAGAAAUGUUCUUACUUCUUUGCUUUAGCCUUUUGGUCCAACUGUUCCAAGUAAUAUUGGUUUUUGCGAUUUUUUUUAUGAUAAAACAGAAUUAAUUUCGGGACCUCAUGUUCUGAUUGUUUAUAAUUUUUCUUGUGACAAUUUGCAAUUUUUGAAAGGAAGCAAGCAACACAAAAUAUGACAUGAUCUUAAAUUGACGAAAAAAAAGAGAAACAAAAAGCAAAGUGAGUUGGGUAGCCAAAUGUCUACACCUUAGAGGCUCCCUCCCAUGCGCCAUUAAUGAGUUAUAAAUAUAAACAUCAUUCAUAUUUAAUUUUAGUAAGUUUGCAUAUUGGUAUUUCUAUAAGUUGAACACCAAUCAAGAUAUAAUUAGAGGUAAUUUUUUCCAACUAGGUACAGAGGAAAAAGUGACAUCACUUAAUAACGAGGAAAAUCACUUCAAAUUAGAUACAUUAUGAUGACACUCUUGGGCUACAUGCAUUUGGAAGAAGAAUGUGAGAUCUCUCAUUCUUACAUUUUAGGGAAUGUUUCAUUCUACCCUUCAUGAUUUUGAAUUUGGUGCAUGUCCGAUCUUGAACUUCAAAAAGCCACAUCCCUCUUUCGUCUAAUCCAAACUUGUAUUUUGUUAUGCUUAUUAACACCGCUAACUUUUUUCCAUUAACAUGAACGACACGUCUUUUAUGGGAUAAAUAAGAUAUAUAUCUUAUAUAAUCUAAAAUGCUUUUUCUGAAUGAUAUAUACCUUUUAUUAAAAGAUAAAUUCUUGAUAUGAUGAGCAUUGAUUGUCUAAUUGGUGACGGAUUACUCAUAAUGAAGAUUGUUUUAUUGCGUUUGCGUCACAUCUCGCAUCAUGUCCAUGGUUAAUUACAAAUUUAUCUUUGUGUUAAGUUGUACGAGUACCUAUUGACUUUUUUGUCGUUGUAAAAGUUGUAUUUACAGAAUGAAUAGUACAUCUCCUUUCAGAUGCUCUCUUUUCCAUCCCCCAUUUGCGUCACAUCUUGUGUCACGUCCAUGGUUAAUGACAAAUUUAUCUUUGUGCUAAGUUAAACGAGUACCAGUUGGCUUUUUUGGCAUCGUAGAAAUCAUAUUUACAGAAUGAAUAGUACAUCUCCUUUCGGAUGCUCUCUUUUCCAUACCCCUUCCUUUUGUCCGUCCUUUUUUCUUUAAUUUAUUUUCGUUAUUGUUCCUUUUUCUUUCCUACCGAAAGAACGUAUUACUCCUUUCGUGGGUGGCGAGAGAGAGAGAGAAGGGGGGGCGGGUAAUCGUGGAAAAUAACCCCAUAUUAGUAUUACACCUUACAGGGCACAAGGGGGGUUGUAUCUCAAUUAGAUGUAAAUGAAAAAUGACCAAAAUCACUUCAUUCACAGUUAAUUUGAUGAUGAACCGUUAUUUCGUGAUUAGAGUCAUAAGUAAUGCAUUGAGACAUGUAAUUGCGCUUGUACUGCAUCGGUCAGGGCCUUUCUCUAUCAUCGUGUUUCGCAAAUGGAAAAAUCGGUCUUUUCGAUCUCAUGAAUCGUGGACGCAUCUCUCUCUCUCUCUCUCUCUCUUCCUUCCCUCUUUUCCUUUUCUGCUCGUUACACCAUGGUGGAACAGAUGCAGAGAAACGCAGAGGCCUCCUACUUUCCUUCUUUUUUUUUUUUUUUUGGGGGGGGGGGGGGGGGUGGGGUCAAAGAGGCCCCUCUAUUUCGCUCACUGAACCCGCAGUCCCUUCGUCUCAUCGUGAAUUCCCAGUGCUUGAGCGAGGUGUAAAAAGAAACGCUCGUGAUAUUUGACCGACUGCCCCACGGGGGGACCUUUGUCACUUUCAGCAGCCGUCUGUACCGCUCUUCUUUCCCAGUCUGCAAAGCCCCGGGCUUCUUUUUGGCGUGUCAAUGUAAAACACGCUGGUUGCACCCACAUCAAUUAUUAUGUUCCCCCAAUCAGUACGUUCCCUUUGUUCACUCAUUCAAGUUCUGUGCAGCAUGUGACAAGAGAUUCCGUAAUUCUUGUCUUCGACGAAAAUAAUUAUCAGAAAUCAACAUGAAGAUGAGGAGCUAUGAAGUCAUAUGAUAAGCUGAGGUUCUUUCAAAGUUUGUGGGCUUCAAACUGAGGAAAUUAACAUAGAGUUGGCUCAGAAAUAAAAGACUUCUCUCCAAGCCUUUUUGCAUGUCAUGUGUGAAAAACAAUUGUAUUGGUAGCUGUGUGACAAAUAUUUUAUUUGUGUGUUAUAAUUAUACCACAUUUACAAAUAAAUAUCUCCAGAGUUGCUCAUUCUAAUAUUUUUCGUGUUACCGUUGUCGUGCUUCCAUGCCCAACAACAAUUGAUGGUAAGUGAUAUCUACUUUUAGAACGAAUUUCAGUCUAAAUUUACCUCCACAUGAUUUUCCAAUGAAACCAUAAACGAUCUCCUUCUUUUAUUAUUAAAAAUUUGAAGACAUGGUAUAUAUUUUGCAAUGCUCAAUUGCUCAUAGCUCAAAGCUGGAUAGUCACGAUGAUUACCUGAUUUGGAAUAGUACCCAACCCACGUGGUGGGGGGCAUGAAGUGACGUUUUCUUUGACAAAAAUCGAGACCAAAAAAGCAUAGUAGAAGAUCUUGCUUACAGAGAUUUAUCUAUCUCUUGACAAUAUCUUCCGGUAGCUUUACCAUUACUUGUAUCCGUACUUGAUUUGCUCUUUCGUUCCCAACGACUUUCCUUUCGACUCAAUGAUUCUCCUUUCCAUGACUCCCUUCAUUUUGAGCUUCAUUAGCUAUUUAUUCGGUCCUGCAAAUUCACUAUUAGAACUGAUAAAGAUAAUUGGAGAAGUUCAUUGAUAAGAUUCUUAUUUUUUCCAUGAUAUUAUGGGUUAAUCAUCUUGACUUACAUGUUGUUAAUGAUCUAUCACGAUCUUUUUGAGUAAGAUGUCCAUCAAAAAUAAAUAAUUUAGAUGAAUGGACAUUCAAGAUUUAACUAUGUGAUCUUUUGAUGACAGUAAUCAUUCUCAAUGACCUUAGUUUUCCCACGUAUUUAAUCAACAUAAUACUUGACUUGGAGGAAUCAUCUCUCUCUCUCCUAGACCCUUGAAAUCAAUUUCGACAUCCCAAACAUAAUAGAUUCACGAGUACUGAGUCUUUUUUAGCCGGUUCCAAAAGUAUAAAUACUUCGAUUCCGUGGUUCGUUAGAAACUUCGCAUAUUUUACUAUUUGGUUGUGCUAUAACAAUAGACAUAAUAGAACAUUUUCUUUAGAUGUGUACGCAUUCACUUGGAUGGAUGGGUUUUUUUUUUUUUUUUUCUCUUUAAUGUGUAGUCGAGCUCUUUCUUUUUCACCGAUUUUGAAAAAGGAGGCAUUGAUGGUUGCAAUUACUAAGCUUUAUUUUCUAUGAGUGUAGGUCAUUUCUAGAAAAUCUCAAUUCCUCCAACGGUAAUGUUUAAAUCCCAAGGAGGUUAGUUUGAUAUGGUGUGCUUUGCUAAUCUCUGCCCUCCCCUUGCAUUUCGCAUUACAAAUGCAACUCUUUACGUGUUUAUUCCCUUGUGAAACCCAAGCAGUCUCUUUGAUUAUAAUAUAACACUUACCAAUGGCAGCAUUGUUUCUUACACGAAAGAUUAGUUUCGCAGAACAAAGGACGUAGCAAAAAUGCGAUUCCCAAUCCUGCUCAUGCAUGUAGUGAUGCUUGCUCUUCUCUAGAAAUUACUCAAUUUUUUUUCUUCUUAAUUGUGUAUAAUGUGAUGGUGGAUUGUCCAUUAAUAUGGGGCUUUUUAUUUUUGUGGUUGAUCAACUACUACUGAACAUGAAAAAAAUUAUUAUCGAAGAUGACAUGGUGCCUGCAUCGCUAAAAUAUGGCAAGUAGUGCGAUCUUCUAUACAACAGAUAGAUGUUCAGGAUCGAGACCCUGUUAUGGCCUCACCAAUUGCUGCAUGAACGCCCGCGUCCAAGUUUUCAGCCCAAAAUGAAAACCGCAAAUAUUAAAAAGAACCAGAAAACCCAAUUGAAGUUCUAAGGGGCCUAACGGUUAAAGAAAAAGUUUUAAUUUUAGUUUUCAAUGUAAACAAAAAUUUUUCAUUUCCGGUCUUUUGUUCCCUUGAGCAUAUGCUCGGCUUGUAGAAAUAAAACCGCAAAUAUUAAAAAGAACCAGAAAACCCAAUUGAAGUUCUAAGGGGCCUAACGGUUAAAGAAAAAGUUUUAAUUUUAGUUUUCAAUGUAAACAAAAAUUUUUCAUUUCCGGUCUUUUGUUCCCUUGAGCAUAUGCUCGGCUUGUAGAAAUAAGAACUUCGUGUAAAUUUAGACCUGUUUGCCGUGCCUUUGCAAUCCAUCAUUAUGCACCUUCUCCAGCAAAAUUUUACCCAAUUGAGUUAGAAUUAAUAGAUAUCCUCUCUCGUGGGAAUCCUGCCCCAAUGGUGGUAGUUUUCACCCUGAAAGCCCUAAUGCUCUUCACUGAAUACAGCAGUCAUUUCAUCUAGUCUAUACCAAGAUCAAAUCUCCCGUUUCCUUGUCAACUUUGGCCCUUUACCCAAAACCCCCAACCUUCCCAUAAAUCAUGUUCGCUGUUCCAUAAGUUAACCCCAACCCAGCUUCCGAUACAACCUGAUCUCCAUUCUAUAGCAUCACGCCCUACAAGUACAGGGCAUGCGAUCAAUGACCAUAAUAUCAGCUAAAAGCAACAACCCUGGUUAAUCCUCGCCCAAAUUUCUAACCCAAAAUCCCGACCUACCGCAACAGCCUCCCAGAGCAUUGCAUUGUCUUUGGACAGCAUUUUCCCAUCACAGUGUAUAGCGAUACAACCCGAGAAUGAAUUUACAGGAAUGGCUGCUUCUGGCGUGCUUCUGGCGUACUUUUCUCACAGGGAGUAAGGUGCCUGCCUCUCGUGCAUCUUCAAUGGAAGAAUUCAUGGAAGAAUUCGACACCUCAGAUUAUCGAGUUGCUAUCCUCCGCAGAAAAUUGGGCAUUUUUUUUUUCAGAAAAAAGGACCUGGCAGAGAUAUAGAUGGUAUGGCCCCAACUGAGAGAAUAUAAGAAUGUCGUCUAACUAUGUUUGGGCAAUUGUUCUACAACCCCAAUAACAAUCUCCAAGCCUUCCCAAACACUAUGAAGAGGGCAUGGAGAGUGGAUUCAGUUACCUUUGAUCAGGUAGACUCGAGAACUUUAGCCUUUACCUUUAAGUCUGAAAAUGAAAUGACCAGAAUUCUUGAGACAAGGCCUAGGUCUUUCUCUAGCAAUCCUUUGGUGCUCAAACCAUAGACAUCGACUACUUCGCAGUACAGUUACGAUUACACACAUUACAAGUUUUGGGUUCAAGUGCACAGAUUACCUAUGGAUUGGGUCUCAGAGGAAACCAUAAGGCAAAUAGCAGCAGCAGCGGGCUUGGUAACUGAAGUGAAAAUUGAUACAAAGGGGUUUAGCUCCUAUACAGGUGGAAAAGCUAGAGUAAGAACUGAUUUAUUGUCCACCUUCAAACCAGGACAUUUGCCAGCCAAGGAGGAAAGAAACUAUGGGUCGACUUUAAAUAUGAGAGAUUACUGCACUUUCGUUAUGCAUGUAGUUGCAUAGGGCAUUAUGCCAAGUUCUUUGAGGAAGAAGAAUAUGACGAGAACUGGUUAGAAAUUGAUGAUCCUAGUUGCUUUGGAAGAAGAGCCCUCUUUGGAAGCUGUUCUAUGCAAAACCAGAGGAUAUAAUCAUAGAUGAUGAGAUCAUUCCAGAAACUCCUACCUCCACCCAGCAAAUGGUGUCCUAUGAGCCUACAGGAAAGAAUCCGUUGGUUCCCAGUAGUGGGAACAAUCUGGGAAAGUCAGCAUAGAUUUUUACAAAGAAGAUAGAAGCUAUUGGAAAAGGUGGCAUCAGUCCAUAUAAAAACAAAGAAAAGAGCUUGACGUUGAUAACAACUCCAAACCACUCAACAAUGCUGGAAGGCAGCUCAAAAGGCCCCCAAAAAGAAAUAUAACAAGGGGAAGAAAACAGGUGGAAACAAAACACAGUGAAGGUAUAGUCCUUACGCUUCUCAAAAGGUGAACUCUCUAGCCUUAAAUGAGACCAAACUUUUGUAGACUCCAAUUCAGGUUUUGGAGGAUCCUAAGAUACGGGCUUUGAUGGCUAUCACUAAUAAGCCGCUGAGGUUCCCAUGAUAAUUUUAUGCUGGAAUUAUUAGGAGUUAGGCACACCCAAGGCAAUCUUGGCAUUGAGGUCUGGAAAGGCCCAGCAUUAUUUUUCUGAUGGAAACAAAGAAUCGAGAAUCUGUGGUAUGAGCUUGAAACAAAUCCAAUUCCAGAACCGUGCAGUGAUGAAUUCAAAUGGAAUUGCAGGGGGAUCAGUAAUUUUACGGAAUGACAUGGUAGCGCUAACAAUGGAAUCAAUCACAAAUGAAAUGCUUGACCUAAUUUGUACAGAUAGUGGAAAACAUAAGAGAAUUACCUUUGUACAUGCUCCAAUAAUCAGCCUCCAAAACCAGCUUCCUUCGAUUUGGUUGUUUUUUUUUUUUUUUUUUUUUUGGGGGGGGGGGGGGGGGGGGGAGGAACUGAACUUUGAUGAAAUUUGGUAUUACUGGGAAAAAGUAGGCAAGCAUAUGGCAGAGCACCAAAGGUUAAUGGCUUUUUGAGAUAUUAGUCAUUAUAAUGCAUGAUCUUUAAUGGAUCUUGAAUGUAAAGGAUGUGCAUUUACAUGGGCAAAUAAAAGGAAUGGGAAUGCCCAUGUGAAAGAAAGACUAGAUAGAGCUCCAUGCAAUGUAGAAUGAAGAGUGACAUCCUGAAGUGGAAGUGUAGGCCCCUUAUAAGCACCGACCAUAGUCCUAUCUUGCUAACUCUCUCAAUGAAAGCUGCAAAAAGAAAGAGAGAAAUUAAGUUUGAAGCAUACUAGCUUAAAGAUAAUGAAUGUGGUCAGCUAGUAAGUUUAGUGUGGAAUCCUCUAGGCACGGAAAUGAAUAUUUUCUGAAGAAACUACAAAAAGGAAUAAAGGCCCUAAAGAUGUGGAGCAAGCGGAAGUUCUCUAAUGUUAAUAGUCAAAUCAACUGCUUGAAUUGGGAGCUUUAGGAGUCAACAAAUGAGCUGAACUUGCAUCAUGACAGGGACAAAAUGCAGCAACAGAAAAUGCAAUUGAAGACCUGUGGAAACAAGGAGAAAUGCACUGGGGCAUGCGCUCAAGAAUAUACUGGCUGAAUAGGGUGAUAGAAAUGCUGAGGAAGCGCAAUGGAAUGAGCACAUGCUGUUCUCUCGUUUUGAUGAGCAUUUAGUAAAUGAUAUUCUAGCUAUCCCACUCUUAACGCCGAUGAAGACUAGCUAGCCUGGACACGCAACCAAGCAGGAGGUUAUGAUGUUAAAAGUGGCUACACCAACUCCAGGACAUUGAGACUAAGCAUGAAGCAAAUCAAGCCUCAUCGUUCUACCAAACUCCAAAAGCCCUUUGGACUAGAAUGAAACAUUCCGUAAAAUGUAAAAGAGGGUGUUUAUGUGAAGUGUGAGCAGAAAUGCCCUACCACAAGAGAAAACCUACUCAGAAGGAAGAUUGUACAUGAGUCAACAUGCCCUCUUUGUGAAAAGGAACCUGAAACUGUCAAACAUCUGUUCCUUCUUUGUCAAAGGACAAAACAGACAAGGUUGGCCUCUGAGAUCGGCAUCGCAUUUGAAAUCAGGAAGUUAUUUGAAUUGAAGGAUGGCCAUUGAAGAUUGACCACCUCAAAGCCCCCGUCUUUUGAACUGAUCAUGGUCACUUUUUGGCACAUUUGGACAUAAAGAUAUUCCUCUAUUUUCAAGCAUCAUGUACCAGAUCCUGCAACAACAAUGGUCUCUAUCAUGGCCAUUCAUAUGAAUCUCUCGAAAUGGAAUGGCCGAGAAUCAGAGAAAGAAACAACCCAGGACACUUACCCAUAAGAUGGAAACCACCAAGUCCUCAAGCCAAACAUCGACAGAACUUUCCAUGAAAAAUCUUCCAAAGGUUCCAUCGCGUGCGUCUGCCAUGAUUUUGAGGGGAAACUAAUUGAUGGGUCCACAGUAAACUAAUUGAUGCCUUUUCUCACAUAAUUGGGCCCGUACUUGGUGAAAGAAAAGCUUGCUUAUGACCAAAAAAAUUUUGUUAACACUAACUAUAGGAAAUUUUCAGUUGAUAAAAAUAAAUUCCAUAAUGAAAGAAGUUACAAAGUUACUAAUUUAUUGACAUAUUGUAAAUUUGUCAGAGUGCUACACUUGUAAAUUUUGAGAAAAAGUUGGUUGCUAACUUAUUCAUUGGAAUGUUGGUAAAAUCAUUUUAAGGUUUGUAAAAUUUGAUGAGGCACUGUGACCCAUCUUAACGCCUUCCAUGAUCCAGAGCAUGACCACCCCUGAAGCAUUGAGUUGACUUACUUUGCUGGCUGGUGUUAGUGACCUUUGAGCCUGUGCCACAGGCAAAACUUUGCUUGCAUUGCUUACAGCACACCCUUCUGCAUCCAGGACUCGCAAUUUCUAUUGUGAAGUGUUCCCAGAUGAUGGACUUCUUGUUUCUCCACUUGUUGGGCUGUGUUUCAAGAGUUUUCACAUUGUUGUUUUCUUCUGGGGUUGCCAUCUUCCACCAAAAAACAAAUUCCCGCCCAAUAAAGUCGGAGAUAAAACAACAAAAGAAAAAAGACAGGUAUGAAAGAGAAGGAGAUUUAGAAUAUUUCGACAGCAUGAGGCAAGAUAUAUUAAAAAAAUCACUGAUGAAUGGACUUGAACCAAAUAUUAGAGUAAGAUGUACAGAAGAUCAGUACAAGGAUUAAAAAUCUUUUUAAAAAAUUGAACAAUGGUGGCCAAUCAUAGGGAGUUGGUAAAUUAGCUUUGAAUAUGAUGAUGAGAGUUUAGAGACCUUUAGUUAGCAACAAAACAUCAUUUUCCUCUUUGUAUUGCAUUAUGUAGGUCAGGGAUCCAAACUAUGGCGAAUGUUCCUGCAUAAAGUCCACACCAAAAGCACUCCAAGAACCAGAAGGCAGACCACACAGGUACCUGCAUUUUAUACGCAGGAAACACAAUCUAGUAGUAGCUUUAACAUUUGAUACCUCAUCUCACGGAUCCAACAUGAGUUAUCAUGGUCGGUGGUUUUGGUGAUCUAUGUGUCAAGAAAGAACCAACUUUUGUUGGCCUGUCAUAGUUAUAGAAUUCUAAUCCUCGAUCUAGCUGAAAAAUGCAAACAAUAGUAGGCUAAUGAAUCUUUUUCACAAGCCAAUUCAACUUCUCAUAGUCAACUUACACACAAUCAUCAAGUGCAGCCAAAGAACUUACAUCUGAAUGAAAAGGAAGGGAACUACACAAAUCACCUCAGUCUCCUAGAUAUAUCAGACACGAAAAAGCAUCCAAGCAGAAAGAAAAGUAUUGAACAAAGGGAAAGCUCGAAGCACGUCCCAAUUACAGAGAACUAACAGAGACAAAAAAGAAAAUGCCAUGAUUGCUAAUGCCCUUUUUUCAGUCGUUGAAAAUGAAGUAAAAGCUUUAAGGCAUCCACUGGCAUCAGACUUGCACAUACCACUUUCCAUUUUGCAGUCAAUUAAAAAAUUUCAGAAUGCACCACACAAAAUUCAUUAACAAGUCUGCCAGCACGCACUACGAAUUGAGCGAGAGGUGGUUGUUCUUUAGAAAUCCUCCAUAACUCAUGGAACAAGCAGACACACAUGUUGUGAUUCCUCUCCACCAAUAAGUGUAUCCCAGAAAAACAAGCAUAAAGAGAGCAAAAUUUAACUGAUCGAUGGAGUACCCACUAAUUCCCGAUGCCCAUUUCGAAAGACUCGAAUUUUUUUUUUUUUUUUUGUAAGAAUAGGGUCCAAAGCUAUCAAUCCUCCAUCGAGCAAGUCGCACAGCGUCUCCACCUUCGAAUCAGCCACGGUUGGGUUGGUGGUCGGAGCUUUCUUCCGAGUUGCAGAGCCGCCGUCCGGUCGCACGCUGCCGGCGCCACCGCACCUCGGCCCGAUAACGGAGGUCGAACGAAAGACACAAAUCGAAACAAUUUUUGAAUUGGGGGGGAAGGCUUUGCGUGAGCCGGAGUUUUUGCUUUUAGUUUCUUUCAGAAUCCUUCGCCUUU
rnacentral:lncRNA from 1 species